AUCCUACUCCUAUAUAUUAUGACAACUAGAGUUCUAUUUAGAUUGCUCAUAACUCGGUUUUUCAUGAGCGAACUAAGCACAUUGAGAUUGAUUGUCAUCUUACUCGUUAUCAUCUCAAGCAUGACACCAUUACUUUUCCUUUUGUUUAUUCUUCCUUGGACAUUGCAGAUUUCUUUACCAGGACGCAUUCCAUUUCUCAUUUUCAUUUUUUAGUUGGCAAGCUCUUAAUGUUUGUAGUUGUCGCAUCGUGAGUUUGAAAGGAGAUGUUAAAUAACAUUUAUUUAGCCUUAUUUAUUAAGGGUAGAAUAGUAUUUUCAGUUUAACCUAUAUAUAAUUUUUUUAUAUUUAGGUUAACUCUAAGCACUCAUAAUAAACUGAUUAUUAAGAAUUAUAGUUUUCUUUUUUUGUUUGAUCUGAAUUAUUUUAACAAUAAUAUGUAAUUAACAUAUACAUGGUGCAUGGAUACUUACUGUUACGCUGAAUUAAAAAAUCAGAUCUAUAAGGUAUUGUAAACAAAUUAGAUUGAAAAAAACAGGUGGCUUACAACAGAACACGCUUACACUAUGCACUAGAUAGCUAGAUCUCCACUCUAUAAAUAGGCCUGGUUCGUUCUUCUUCAAACCACUCUUCCCUAGCUACACACUUCUUCGUUCUAUAUUUAUUGUUUCUGUUUCCUUCUUUCAUUUUACUUGUCAAUGGAAAGUGGGCUUAAGGCAUUGUGGGUGCUGUCCGCGGUGUUGCUGGUGUCAAACUGGCAACACUGGACUUAUGGAAAGGCCGUACCUCAAGUUCCUUGCUACUUCGUCUUUGGAGAUUCUCUCUUUGAUAACGGAAACAAUAACUACCUUGACAAAUCAGCUAAAGUUAAUUACCUUCCUUAUGGGAUAGACUUUGAUACUGGGGCUACAGGAAGGUGCAGCAAUGGUCUCAACAUAGCUGACACCAUUGGUCUGCAGUUUUCUCUCCUCUCUUAUAAUACAAAAUAUAGUGUUUUAGUUUUCUUUAACAUAUAAAAUAAAUAUGUUCUCACUAGAUAGUUGUGAUCGUUUUAUUAAAUUACAAUUAGAUAUCCUGCUAAGUCUGGUACUAAUGUUUUUGUUGCUGAAAUUUACAUAAUUUAUUAGAAGGAUGAUUAGGUUUGUUCUUUUGUUUCUUGUAUACCUUGAAACAUAAAUUUACAACGGUCUGAACAUAACCGAGUUUAGUAAUGUGGGCAGUUAUGAUCUUAAUUAUUAUUCUUUUGUUUCAGCUGAGCAAUUAGGUUUCGACAGUUACAUUACGGAUUUUGGUGUCGGAGGUUGCACUAAUUUUCUAGAUGGUGUAAAUUAUGGAUCAAAUGGAGCUGGCAUCCUUAAUUCUACUGGCUCUCUUGCGGUGAUUACUGAUCAUAUGCCUCUCAUAACUAAAACCUUGUAUUAUUCCGUAUGAAUUUUGCGUAAUCUUGUAUGCUUUGGCAACGCUACUAUUCAUAUGUUUCUUUUGUGUAUGUGAAGGGAGAACUAUUUACAAUGGAUGCUCAGUUAUUUAAUCACAAUAUCACGGUUUCACGAAUUUCCAAGAUCUUGGGAAGCGAGGAAGUUGCUAGGAAGUACUUGAGCCAAUGCAUCUAUGUGUCUGAUAUGGGUCAUAACGACUACCUCAACAAUUAUUUCAAGGAAGAGUACAACAGCAGCAAGCAAUAUACUCCUCAAAAAUUUGCUGAACUUCUUAUUAAAACUUAUGAAACUCAGCUGGAGGUUAGCCCUACUAAUGUCUCUUGUAAAACAACAAUUAAUGUUUGACACGAUUGGAAACUAACAAAGACCCCACUUCAUUCCGUUUUUUUUCCCUUGCUGCCAGAAACUGUAUUGCUCAGGAGCAAGAAAGAUAGCUGUGUUCGGACUUAUUCGGGUAGGAUGUAUGCCGCACAACAGACAAAACCAUCCCAAUGACGUAGAUGCAUCUUCUUUAUGUGUAGAAAAGUUCAACAGUGAUGUUCAAAUUUUCAACGGCAUGCUUCAAGAACUGCUAAAUAAUCUUAAUGAAAAGCAUGCUGAUGCUGUGUUUACCUACAUAAACUCUUAUGAAAUUGAUUCUGAUGAUCAGACAAAUACAGGUACGAAUCCCCUCCCUCCCUUGCUCUCUCUCUCUCACGGCUGAAGACGACUUUUUUGUGAGACCAAAAUUAUUUUUUCUUGCUUGCAGGUUUUACACAUACCCGUAAGAGCUGUUGCGAGGUAGCAUAUGGUUCAGUCCCAUGUACAUCUCUCUCCGUGCCAUGUAGCAACAGGAGUGACUAUGUGUACUGGGACGGAGCCCAUUUUACUGAAGCUAAAGCUAGGGCCUUUGGAGAAAGAGCAUAUAAAAGUCUGUCACAAAAGCAUGCUCAUCCAUAUGAUAUUAGCGAACUAGCUAAGCUGAAGCUUGAUGAUUCUGAUGCUUACAAUAUCAACCAUGCCCAGCUCUGAUGGAGAAGAUGAUUGUCCAAUAAGUUCUUAGAGAAUAAAAUAUUGUGACUGUAAGAACAAUGGAAAGACAUAUCUACUGUCUUUUCAUAGCCUUUCACAAUAUAAUUCCAAUAAAAUUUGCCUUUAGGCAUUAGCCUCAAGGAGCAAUAAUAAUUACUUAAUUCCUUAAUCAUUUGGAUAUCAUUACUUAAACUCUAUUCAUAGAAGGAUUUAUUCUUAAAGUAUGGAAGUCGAUUCGGAGAUACUCUUGCCAUUAAAAUCGAAAAAAGGAUACAUCCGUACGUUCAUAAACCAAAACAACUUUACUUCUAUAUUUAUAUCUGCGAAAUCUCAUAUGUGGACAUGAUAGGCUAAAAGAUCAUGGCCUCUGCUGCUAGUUUAUCUUUCUGUGACUCACUUCGGCCUUAUUUUAACUAAAGUCUCAACAAAUUGCUAUACUGAUAACACAAAAUCAAGGUUUCCAACUUGAUGUGAAUUCGAUCACAACAAAUUUCUAAACUGAUUGUGUGCUGCAUGACUUUGAUAUAUUUUAUGCUCUUCUUAACUCCUUUUCCUCAUGAUUUUUUUAAAAAACUAUGCUUGAUUAUACUGGUAGUGAGACGAGAGGAAUUCAAUCCUAACACAAAGAUCCGAGUGUAUAAAUUAAAACCUUUUUUUUUUAAUUUAGAACUCUUUUAGCUUUAUAUAUGAUGUUUUUACUAUUAUAUAAACAACCAAACCAAAGAGAGUUGCGAUAUUCAGUAUUGAUCAUCAAAAUAUUGAGUAAUAAAAAAUAAAAUUUGUUUUCUUAUAGUAAAGAUUAAUUUUUUUAUAUAUAAAAUUCUAUAUAGAUAUAUAUAUAUAUAUAUAUGAUUGCUAUAUUUUUUGUGUUUUUUUUAUUUGCGUCAAACUGUUACCAUUAUGGGAUAUAAUAUAUUUUGGAGGCGCAAAAUAAAACUAUAACAUGAUAAACAUGAAUGUUUAAAUAGUAAUUUACCACAAAAAAUUACUCCACUAUGAUACUAUAUAUAACGUAUCAAAAAAACAAUUAAUGAUAAUCUAAUUAAUUAAUAAAAUGGGGAAAAUAGCCAGCAAGGAAGUGGCUUCAGAUUACACAGUCUGCUAAAUCAGGAUGACAGCCGAACUUCCAUGAGACUGGGAUUAUGAUAAUUGUCACCAAGGCCAUCUUCCAUUACUUCCCAGAUUACUUCCCAGUUGGCUUUUCAUUUCCAGUUCUAACCCUAGAAUCAGGGCUCAGAUGGUUUUUGCCUAGAACGCAAAAAGCAAUCAGACUGACAGACCCCAUCUUGCUACUCUAAUUUUCAUUUGUUUGCCUUUAAUGAUGUAAAUACUUGCUAGUAUCUCAGAAGUCCAUUGUUAUAAUAUACUUACUGAAAGUUUGCGCUACGGAUGCUUAUCUCCAAAUUAAGUUCUCUCGAUUGCAAGAACUUUCACCUCAUUUGAAUCUAUAGUACUAGAUAAGGAUGAAAAAAUGUAUGAGAAGUGAGUAAAGAUGAGCAGCAGCCAGUAAGAUGGUGGCCAAGACUGCAAAUGGAAAAGCAAUCUAUGGUCAAUUUAUAUAAUCAGAAUCUCUACCUGUUAGAACAUACACCUGCAAAAAUCUUGUGACAGCAAGAGAGACACAACAGAAACAAUACUCUAGACCUAGAAAUUAAACAGGGAAUAAAAAUCAAGUAUGCCAUUCUUUAAGCUCCUCUCUCCUGUUCUCAAUUUCCUGGAGUAGCUUUGCUAGGCCAUCUGCCAGUACAUUUCUAAUAACCAUAAAAUAUAUAUGUUUUUUACACUAUAUUUUUUUAAUGUAUUUUAAAUUUAUUUAAGCUUAUUAAAAAUUAUUUUUAUAAUAUUAAUACAUAUAAGAAACUUUAUAAAUUAAAUACUAAAAAAUAAAAAUUUCAACAUUUUAUAUCUUAAUCCUUACUUCUUGUCAAGGAUAAUAUAUAAUAUAAACUCAAAUCAUAAAAUAUAAUCAUUAAGUAAAAUAUCAUCGGCAGCUGGUCCAACCUCAACACCAUUGUUCCCAGACUCUUCAAACCAAAUCACCCAAACCCGAAACCAACAAGCCAUAAACCCGACUUUAUUGGUAACCCAAUUAGCCUCCUCCACUGUUACCGAGCAAGACCCAUCUCUUUCCUAGUGUUGACUGUUGAAACGGCUAGAAAAGAAAAAAAAAACCACAAUCAAGAAAUAGAUCGGUGGAUAAAACAAAAGAAAUAAAUAAAACGAAUUGCGUUUGUUGAUUUCAUUUUCUUGCAAUUCACGAUGAGAGCCACUACUAGCAUGAGAAGAAGGAGAUGAAAGAGAAGAUCCUGAUCCACCUAAUUUUUCAAUCAGACGAUCAAACGGCACGUGAAACCACGCGUCUCCUCUGUGUCUCUAUUUCUAUCACCUUGUAGCAAUCUCCCCAAGCUAUCAUCAGCCUCAGGAAGGUUUAUUUUGGAAUCCAGAAUAUUUAUUUAUUUAUUUAUGAUUUAUGUUUAAUUACAAUGAUAUGUAAAUAUUUGUAAAUAUAUUGGUGUGAGUUAAUUACUAAAAAGAUUGGGUGUGUGUUUGUAUUUUUCUUAUAUGUUCUUGAAUCUAUUAAGUUGCCUACAUGAAUCUUUUUUAUAAAAUUUAUUUGGAUACACAAGAUCAAUAGUAAAUUCUUUGACAUAAAUAAAUUUUAAUGCUAAAUAAUAGAUAUACUAUUAGUUAAAAACUUAUCAAAAUUUUUAAAUCACAUAAUAUAGCUUAUUUUAAAUAGAAUGCAUUAGAAAUACUAAUACAUUCUCACAACCAGUUUCUUGUACUUUAAAUUUUUUAUUAUGGAUUUUCUAACAACCUCAACCAAAUAAUUAGAUGGCGAGUCCGAUGAACUCUCAACACGUAGGGCUAGGAAAUCCCUUCUCUCUCUUUUUCCAAACUGUUAAUUAGAUUAUAUUUAACAAAAGCUAUUGCCAGCACUUUUAUGAAUGAUUAUUAGAAGGGGCCGAUGCUGUCGCUUUUCUUUGGGCACCCAUUUUUUGCUAAUUCAUAAUUGGACACUAUGUUUCUUCCCUUUUUCACAGAAAAUAGACAGCAAAGUUGAUUAAUAAAUAGAUCAAUGGAACACAUAGCAAGCUAUAACACCAUGCAAAUGUAACAACAGUGAAGGCAGAAUGCAGAGCUCAAAGCCAUCUGUAGCAGGUAAACGUGGUCAGUUUUCCCCUGAUGAGAAAAUCAAAUCCAGUGUUGGCAUGGAAAAUGGCAGCCAGGUAUAUUUCGCAGGUUUAAAGGCGGCAAUUCCACUACUUCACAUGUGAAAGAGCAUCAGUUUGAGUGAGGAAAAGCAAUCUGCAGCUUACUACUCUCAUUUAUGAAGAUGUAUAUUGGAAGACUAAUAACACGUUCCUCAUGACUAAUUUGCUUUCUUCCAUGAAGGUUGAUGGCUGUCAAUUUCAUGGGCGUGUUCCUUUGGCAGGCAGUCACGCUGUGCCUCCGAAAAAGCACACUAUUGACUCGUUGAAAACCAAUCCUGUGAAACUGUUCAUUAUCUUCUUUAAUAUUGGCCCAGUCCCUCCAUUUUGCUUUUCUUACAACAAAAUCUUGAGUUUGUAUAAAGGGAAACAAGAUUAGUAUAUAUCUAUUAGGGGGAAAAAAUAGAGAGGGAGAGGGGAAAAAGGAAAAGCCUAGAGAGCCAAAGAGUAGGCUGAAGAGGAUAAUAGCUGUGCUGACAAAAUUUAUUCAACACCAACACCAUAUAAAAAAUGCAUUAGCCCUCUGAAUUGAACGUCUAUAAAUAGACAAGAAAGAGGAUAAUAGGUGGCUGACAAAAUUUCUGCACCCUCAAAAAACUUGCAGAUGCAUUAUUUAAGAAAAAAUUGAGACAAAGGUUUUUCCUUGAACACCUUCAUAUUUUUAAACCUGAAUGAAUGGCUACAACUCCCCCAACGAGAUUCUCAUACUCAACCUUCUGAAAUCCUGCAUCUGCAAUCAUCGAAGCAAAUUUCUCUUGCAUUCAUCACUUGCAAUAAGUCAUUAAGUAUACCAGACAAAGGUACACACACAAUUAAACCCAGGUUAUCAGCGAGCACAUGCAAUAUAAGCUCCUAGAUAGUCCAUUGUCCUCAUGCCUCCCUCCCCUCUCUCCUCUCUCAGCUAAGGUAAUUUAAUUCCAAUCAGUUAACUCACAGGGAUUCACACAUAGGGUUCAAAUUUAUCAGUUGCAGAUUACUGAGCAGAAAAUAUCUUUCAAAGUGCACAACUAAUGAAUCUAAUAUAAGGCUUACAUUUUCUUCAAAUGAUACUUUAUAUAGUCUAAUUAGAGGGGGGGGGGGAAAAUAUAUAUAUAUAUAGUUAGAUGCACUGUUUCAGAUAAAAAUACAUGCCGAUAACACAUUACUGGCAGUUCAAUGUAAUAAAUAUGAGUUGAUUCUUUUCUUUUUUUUAGCAAAAUGAAUUUUAUAACCUUGAGCCAUGUACAAUGAUCAUUAAAACACUCUUGCAUGCCAUAUUAAAAUCACAUUCUAUCUUGUGCAUAUUCACAUUUGGAAUAUGCAAAAAGCAAUAAUCCAUGUAACCAUGUAAGGUUGCUAUAAAAAUAUCUAGUUUCCACAUUCAAGGAUAAGGCGUUCACUUGCAUACACAAAAUACACCAGUUGUUUUAAUUUUUAUUUUAUGUCUUAUUUUCAGAAAAAGGCUCCGCUGAAGUAUGUAUUGGGAAUAUAGAAAACUUCAAUUCCUUGAUUGAGUUAUAGCAGUAUAUGUAACAUCCAGGGUUCUACAAAGGCAGCACACUAUAGUGUGGACUCAAUUUCUUAGCUUCUAAGAUACUUUGGCAAAAUUGUGGUAAUAUUUGCAAAAGUACAUAGGACAAAAUUAUGACCUGUGGAGGAAAACGACGUAUGCUCUCAACUAAGUACUGAUAAGAAUCCCGAUCACCUGCAACUAGCUCUCCCACAGCUGGAAUGACUGAGAAUGAAUAGUAAUCAUAUCUGCAAGAAAAAGGAACAUUCUUGAAACAGGAUAGAUGAUGCAGUGUUCUGAAAAAUAUGGGGAAAAAAAACAAAUUGAAGUGGAAAGAAAGCUAAGCUUCACUAAGAUUAGCUGGGACAGUAGAAGUCAUCUGCAAUCCAUAGAAUAAAGCUUGAGCAGUGAGCAUAUAUCUUUUUCUUGCUACAAACAAUCAUAAAGUCUUCCAUGUGAGUGCUUUCCACAUGCCAGAGCAUGCAAGGAUUGAAAACUAAUCAACAAAAUUUCAACCACUCAAAUUCAAAUGAAACAGCAAGAUCUUCUUAACAAUUCAAAGUUCAUGUAAUUAGUAAAAGCUAAUUUAUUUCAGGAUCUACAUGCUAUUGUUGUUUUGUUUGUAUUACAACAUCAGCAUAAUGUUAAUCUGGUUCAAUCACAGUAUUUGCCACUUUUUGUACUUCGUCUUGCAACAUCUACAGAACACUAAUCUCCGUAGCCAUGAUGUUUUGACCAUAUUUUAUUAAAGUUCAUCAUCUUCUCAAUCAACAUUAUGCUCCCAGGUAACAAUCUGUUUGCACCCUAGUGGGAUUAAUUGGUUAGGAAACAACAAUUGUAUGUAGACCAACAGCAGGUAUGUAGUGCACAGAAAAAUCAAUUAGAGACAAUAAAAUAAAUCAAUCUACUCUUUAUAAACUUUAGAUUCAUAAUCAAUACAAAUAUAAACUCCUAUAAUAAUAUGAAUAUAGAAAAAUGAAUCCAGAACUCCAACGAGAAAGGUGGGUUAUGGGAGCAUGUGACUUGUAUUAUUGAAUUCGGGUUAGAACUAAGAUGUAAUAUUUCUCUGUCAAUCUCACUUCAUCACACCAAGGCCUUUGUCUCUAUGAUUGACUAUUUUCUAUGGAAAGGAAGAGGCUGGAUAGUUAAUAUUCAAUAAAGAUGAAGAAACCAUGUUAUAGAGCCGGGUAAAUUAGUAAACACCCUAGGUAUGGUGAACUUAUCAUUACAACUCAAAACUUUGAAGAUUUGCAAAAUAUAUAUAUAUUAAGCAUGAUAUUCUAAAUGGAUUUAAAAAUACUACUUUGACAGUAACAAUAUUUUGGGCAUAAAAGAGGGUUUUUAUCUUAUUUACUUGAACAUGGAGGGGGGAUUUUGUCAAAACUUCAAACUUUUGGGUGGUGGCUAUAGUUUCACCACACCUCAUGGGAGUUAUUGUAAUUUAUCCUUUUUGAUUUAAUUUGUAAAAAAACAUUUCACCACCUAUACACUACCAGAAAGGAAAGACUAGCCACUUCUGGCAUAAUUUAUUGACUUGUCAAUUUAUUAAAAUUGAGAAAAAAUUAAACACAGGAAAAAGGAUAUUUUUUGUUGAAAUAAUGCCUAAAACUGAUACUACAAGAAAUGCUAACAUUUAUCCUUUAAUGUAUGUAAGAAGGUGUACUCACAAUUCUUUAAACACAGGAACUUCAACGUGGCUCAGUUCAAGGCAAAGAAAUCUUCCUCCGUGUUUUAAUACCCUAAUAAAAUAACAGAUGAAGAUUGCAUGAAACAUUAAUGUAUAUAACACAAGCUGGAAAAUUUCUGAAGAAAGAAAGGGGACCUUAUAACAGAAGAAUAGCCUGCUGAUCAUACAUAUCGAAAGAGAAGACAUUUACUAAUUGAAUGGAAAACACAUAACAACUAGCACAAAUACACCAUAGUUUAGACUGAAAUAAGACAUUUUGUUUUAAUAAAUUCAUAGUCAUCAUCUAAACGAUUUUCUUGUUAGCUUCAUAUCUUUUAAAAACUCUCCAUGCAGUCGUUGGGUCUCAUAAAAUUUAAACCUAAUAUUUAACUUUCUCACUACCUAAUUCCACUUCUAAUUGUCCUUAUUUCAAAUUCAACAGAAAACAUUUAAUGCAAGUACCUAAUUUGGAGCAAACAAGGUCAACUCUCUAAGUGGAAAACAAAAAUUACCUAGGAACCUCUACCCUCUCAAAAUUUAAGCUGGUAGUGGAUUCAGAUCCCCUUUACUCAGACACUGAUGAAGGUCUUAUCCACAGUAGCACCAUGAUAACUUAAGUAACUUUCUAGACAUAUUGAUCUUGAUAAUAUGCAUGUUCAGUGCUAUUUUUGCAAUUGUAACCAACAAAUGUCAUUGUUAUAUGCAUUUUCUUUGGAGAAAAUAUGUUAUAAACAUUGAUUUUAGAAGAUAAAGGCUACAUUUCCUUUAAUUCAUAACAGUCCAUCGGAUCCUCUAAUUAGAUAAGCCAUCCUUAAAAGCCUGUAACAGAGUAACCUGAUAUCGCAUCAGUAGUGGUGAAAUGAUUAUUUGUCAUGGUUUAGUUUUACAACCUUAAUGAGAGGAUUGUUAGCUUGCUAUUUAUAAUUUAUGUCAAGAGGGUCUAAUAUAAUUUGGGUGAAUAUGUCAACAGCAAGCCACAAAAUUAUGAGUAUAGGUCAUGAGCAUACCUAUACGCUUCAGCAAGAACUUUCUCUAUGUGUGUAACAUUCCUAAUUCCAAAUGCUAUUGUGUAGCCAUCCAUGGUCUUAUCUCCAAAACUCAAGGCUUCAGCAUCUCCUUCCACCCAUAUGAGGGAUUUGUCUUCUCCAAGACCUGCAAGCGUCAAUUAAAAAAAAAGGAAAGAAAACCAUCACUCAUCGAGAAAUCGACAUUAAUAAACUGUAAUUAGACCAUCCAUGAAUUUCACUCAAGUCCUAAUCAUUCCUGAUUCAUACCUCUCUCUAUAGCCCGUUUUCUGCCAACAUUUAACAUGUUUGGGUUUAUGUCACACACAUGUAUCUGUGUUUCUUCCUGUAAAUGAUCAUUAAUGGGAUCUUGAUUUGCUCUACGCUUGAUACUACUUAUACCAUCCAGAAUCCUGAAAGCAACAUCUCCUGCAAUUAAGAAUUCCAAACUCAAGAUCUUAUAACUCAUAAAAACUAUGAGAUAACAAUGAAAAAACAACAAGAAUAAGAAGAUACCAAUCAUCAAUUUUAGCUGAACAAUUUGCUAGAUAGAAGUAGAGCGUGCAUAUUUAAAAGGUGGAUGUAAAGGUUAUAUGAAGAGGGUUUUCCAAGGAUUUAAUACUAGCAAAACUGAGACCAAAGGAAGACUUGGCAUUUUGGUUUCUAGAUUUGUAUGGAUAGAAUCUGAAUCAACUUGAGAUGAAAUGACGAACUUUAAGGGCUCUGGAGACAUUAUGUAAAUUUGCAGCAGAACCAGUUAGCCACUUGCUUUUACACCAUAGUUGAACAAGAGAUUUGCGCAAGCAAGUCUUCUCACUAUUAGUAUUCUUUUGGGUGCUAUGCAAAGGAAAGAGAUGUAUGGGCUCUGGAGACAUUAUCCUUGUAAAUCAGAUGGUUGUUUUUACACAUGGCCACAUGGUGUGGCUUCACCUCCCGAUUUCUAUCCAUUAAAGCUUUUCUAAUCAAAUAAAGUGCUUUUAUUUUCUUUAUAACAUGUCAUAGUUUUAUAUCAGUACUCACCUGUUCCCCCAGCCACAUCAAGAUGCUUCAUUCCAGGAAAUGGAUUCAGCAUAGAAACCAGUCUAGAAAGCAUCAUAGAAAAGUAGCUAAUGUCACCAUGAACCCAAAGUGAAGUAUAAAACAUAACAAGCAAUCAUUAAAAAAUGCAUCCUCAACGUAUUCUGACCUGUCCUUCCAUAACCUAUGUAAUCCACCACUCAUUAAAUCAUUCAUGAGAUCAUAAUUUGAGGCAACACUGCUGAAAACAUUACCAACCAGUUGACUUUUUUCUUCUUCUCGAACAUGUUUGAAUCCUGAAAUGAUUUUUUAAGAAUGUCUAACGUGUGGUUAAGAGGGUUCGUUCAGGAUGUUCAAUUUAACGAGACAAAUCAAAAUGAAAACAAACAAUUAGUAGUUCAAAGAAGGCAGACUAAAAAAGACACACAAGAAGAAGAGGAAUCAUUAAUUACUCAAGAACCUACCAAAGCUAGUGGCAUGUGAAUGCAGUGGAGAAGUGGAAGACAGCAUGGGCAAGAAUUUGCUCCCCAGCUUCCUGCUAACCAAUUUCAGCGCCAUGUCUGCCACCCAGACCGAGCCACACACACAACAUCAAUAAAUAUAUAUAAGAAAAAAAAAAUCAAAUUCGUUCUUAGGAUCAUGGAGCCCAGUUGGAUAAUGUGUCAAAUACGCAAUGGUCAGAAUGCUCUAGCUAUAAAAUUAAAUCGCAUUUGAGAAAAUUAAACUAAGAAAAGAAAGGCAAAAUGAAAGACAGAAAAAAAUAAAAGAAAGCAAAGGGGUAAAACAAAAUCUUUGCCCUCCAGAUUUCAUAAUUAUUUCUCUCAAAUCUCUAUCCAAAUUGGGUUAAAGAAGAAAGAGGAUGAAGAGAAGACAGUAUAAAUUACGUUCAUUCAUCAUACCUUAAUUCAACAGUGAUUUCUGUACCUACUAAUUUACAAACUUCUUCUUCUAUUUCUUUGCUGAUGAUCUCUUUGGUUGUUUUUUGGGCUCAAAGUUAAAACUGUGAAGGCAGUGGUGUUUCGUUUCGUCUCGAAGAAAGUGUUUUCAGAAUUCAAAAUUAAGGUGUUAGGUGAAUUUUUAAAGUAUUGUUUUUUUUUUUUUUGAAAAUAUAUUAAAAUAAAUGUUUUUAUAUUUUUUAAUUUUAAUAUUAAGAUAUUAAAAUUAUUUAAAAAUAUUAAUUUAAUGUUAUUUCAUGCCAAACACAUUUUUGAAAGAUACCUAACCAUAAUUUUCCAUAUACUAAAGUUAUAUGUUGUUAUAAAACUCAAUCUUAUUUAACUUAAUUUAAAGUUUGAUUUAUGAGUUGAGAAGGUUUGUAAUCAAAGAUUUGAAUUAAAAAAUAUAUAUAUUUAUAACAAUUAUAUUAUAAAAUACUAUAAAAGGUAUAGAAAAAGUAUUGUAGCUUUCCCCACGUUUUUUAACUUUAUUCAUUAUUAUAAUUAUAUUAUUAUUAUUAUUAUAUUAUAAAAUAUCUUAAAAAGUACUGUAGCUAUCUUCUUCUUCUUUUUUUAUUUUUUUUUUAAUUUAGUUUGUUAAUGCUAAAUUUGUUUUAUUUAGUUAUCAGACUUUCAUGACACGGAUCUCGGGUUUAAUGAGUUUACCUGGUUUGACGAGUUAACCUGGAAUUGUUUUUCUUUUUAAUUAAUUUUUUUUAUUUAGUUUAGUUUGUUAAUGUUAAAUUUCUUUAUAUUUAAUUAUCAGAUUUUCAUAACACGUAUCCCGAACUUGACGGGUUUACUUGGUUUAACGGGCUAACCCCCAAUUAAUUCUGGGUAAACGUCAAUUUUAUUUUUUCUAUUUAGUUAUCAAACUUUCAUGACGUGGAUCCCAAGUUUGACGGGUUAACUGGUAUGAAGGGUUAAUCCAGUUAAUUUAUAUUUUUUUUCAUUAGUUUUUUUCUUCCUAUUAGUUUUUUUUCUUUGGUUUUUUUUUUUAAUUAAUCUAUUUAAUUAUCAUAUUUUUAUGACACGACCUUAGCAUACCCACAUCUAAUGCUCUUGGGUCCGGUGUUGCAGCUAGACUCACUUAAACUUAAGUCAUGUAAGUUUAAUAUUAUUAUUAAUAUUAUAAAUAUUACUCUUGGGUCAAGCGUUGCAGCUAAACCCAAGACUCUUGGGUAUAACUUUGCAAAAAGACCCAACAAUUUUAAUUUUUAAUUUUUAAUUUUUUUUUAAUAUUUUAUGUUAAAAAAAAUUAACCUACGACAUCGCGCAUGUCAUGUAAUUAGUAAAACACUAAAAGAUGUGAAUUCUUAAUUGUGCAAACAUCAUUAUUCAUCAUCUCAUAUUUUAUUGUUCAAAAUUUUAGGAAUCAAAUUUAAGAGUGAUUAAAUCAAAUGUUUAGCUCUGUUAUCUUUGGUUAUUAAAUUGUUUUUUUUUCUUUUUAAUUUGAUUCUCAUAAGUUAAGUUGUCAUGUUUUGUUUUGGAUUUAUUUUGAUGUACAUGCUCUAUCACCAAUCUUAGUACUCUACUAAGCAAUUUCAUAAUUUUCUCUCCUUAUAGCCACAAGCAAUGUCUGCCUCUUUUUUUAUAGGUCAGUUGCCUCAUAACUCCUCAGGUAUGCCACAUUCUAAAUGGGUCUUGGAUUUUGGUGCUUCCCAUCAUAUGUCUCCAGAUUCUUCAUCUUUUACCCAUGUGUCCCUUUCAUCCUUCAUUCCUGUUAUGACUGCCAAUGGCAUUCUCAUGCCCUUAGUAGGUGUUGGUUUUGUUGUCACACCUUACUUGUCUCUCCCUAAUAUUUAUUUUAUUUCAAAACUCAAAUUAAAUCUUGCUUAUAUUGGUCAAAUAUAUGAUUCUAGUGAUUAUUUAGUCAUAUUUUUUUGGUUCUUUUUAUCGUGUACAGGAUCUGCAGUGUCAAAAUAUGAUUGGAACAAGCCGCAGGGAGAAUGGACUACAUAUUUUGAAUGAGUUAAAAGUGUCAGUUGUCAUUGCUACUACUACUACUAGUAUUGAUUUCUCUUCCUUUCGUUUGAGUCAUUCAUCUUCUAGUUUUUAUUUAUGGCAUUCUUGUCUAGGUCAUGUUUCGUCUUCUCGUUUAAUAUUUUUGGCAUUCACAGGAGCUUUAGGAAAUUUAAAAACUUAUGAUAUUUCUGAUUGUAAUGGAUGUAAACUGGCAAAAUUUUCCGCUUUACCUUUUAAUCGAAGUAUUUCUAUUUCUUCUUCACCAUUUGAUUUGAUUCAUUAUGAUGUAUGGGGACCUUCUCCUAUUUCCACAAAAAGACAGUCUCGAUAUUAUGUUUCAUUUAUUGAUGAUCAUACUCAUUAUUGUUAGGUUUAUCUAAUGAAACAUCGUUUUGAUUUCUAUGAGAUAUAUACAGCCUUUUGAGCGCUUAUUAAAACUCAACAUUCUAUUAUAAUCAAAUGCUUUAGGUGUGAUUUGGGUGGAGAAUAAACUCUUAAUAAAUUUUAUCAAUUGCUUUCCUUAGAUGGAAACCAUUCACAAAACUUCAUGUACAUAUACUCGUAAGCAAAAUGAUGUUGCUGAAAGAAAACAUAGGCAUAUUGUCGAAACUGCUCGUUCUCUCUUGUUGUCUGCUUCUGUUCCUAAUGAGUUUUGGGGAGAAGUUGUCCUUACUUCUGUAAGUUCGAUUAAUACAAUCUCAUCUUCUCAUAGUUCAAGUUUGUCUCCUUUUGAAAAGUUAUAUGGGCAUGUCCCUGAUUAUACCUCCUUUAGAGUUUUUUAUUGUACUUAUUUCGUUCUUUGUCCUCAUGCAGAAUGUAGUAAGUUGUUCUCUUGUUCUGCUAUUUAUGUCUUUUUGGGUUAUGGUGAAGGUAAAAAGAGGUAUCGUUGUUUUGAUCCAAUAACUCAAAAAUUUUAUGUGUCUCGUCAUGUUGUCUUUCUCGAGCAUAUACCUUUAUUUUAUAUUCCAUCCACUACUUAUAACUUGACUAGACUUGAUAUUAUUCAUAUCAAUCCUUUUUUAAAGGAUUUUGAUAAUAUAUCAUCACAGGUUCCUAGUACCUCAAAUACCAUUUCUCAUGUUCGACCAAUUUGUACUCAUCAUCCUACAAGUACUGACACUUUACUCUCUGGCACACCUGAAUCUCCAUUCUCAUCUACAACCCCCCAAGCUUAAUAUGAGAUUGUGGAUCCACCUCUACUACUUCAAUUCAUACGCAUUCGUAUAUAAACCCCAAGUUGAAAUUAAUUAGAAAAAAAAUCAAUAUUUAUGGAGCAAGAUUAAAAUAAGUAAAAAAAAAACUAGGAAGUCAAUCUAACUAUUAAAGUGUGGGAAUGAAAAAAAUUACAAGAUAGAGGAAGUAAAGUGUAUAAAACGAGAGGAAGAAAUUCUAGGAAUUAAUAAGACAAUAGCCAAACAAAGCCAAGUCCUAAUUAGAAAGGGGUAUAAAUACAUGUGAGAGAGUAAGAUGGAGACUUUUCUUCUCCAUAAAAGCUAGCGGAAACCGUAAAGAACAACUCUUCCCCAUUUUAAUUUCAAAACAGAAAUACUUUGUAUAUUCCCCUUACCUAGCGCAAGAGUGAAAGAAGAAUAAUUGUAAGGUGAAAAAUCAAGAAUUUGAAGUAGAGAAAGAGAGAUGGAACCGGCUGAAACAAAAAAUAAAAAGAGAAGAAGGAAAAUUGAAAGGGAGGAGAAUAAUAUCACCCAAGUACUCCCUCAAAAUGCUUCCAAAUUCGUGAGGUAAGAGUAAUCCUUUACUCUUGGAACUUGUCAUCGGAGGUGUUAGGUUGUAUGAGAAGAAAGCCCCAAAUGAAGUGAUUUAGGAUGCUUGAAUUUAAUUAGGGUAAAUGAAAAAUCAAUGCAAAUUCAUACUCUAGAGCAUAAAUAGUUUAGGAACACAACAUUUUUAACUAGGAUUGAUGAAGGUUGGAGUUGUUAGGAAACCCUUACCAUUCAACCAAAAGAAAAACAAAUAUAAGGGAAUGGGGAGUCUCCAAUGGUAUUAUACUAAUAUAAUGAUGAUGAAGUGUGCAGUAACUGAAAUUAUUAUUAUUUUUUUACUUUUUUUCAUAUCUCUUGAUUAGCACUUAUAUGAUUUAUGUUGGAGCUUAAAGUUGUAUGAAUCAUGUUAUAAUGAAAAUCAAAUAUAAAAAGAAGAAGAAGAAGAAAGAUUUGAUGUCUUGAUAAGGAAUGAGCUUCAAUUGCUAGUUCCUAAUAGAGUUUAAACGUAAUGGAAUCCUAUAAUGAUGAAAAUAUGCAUAGAAAAUGUUUGAUUAGUGUUUAAAUCCAUGAAUUCAAAUCUUGGCAAUUUGAUGAUGGAAAUACCAACACAAAUUGGACAUAGAAGAUGAUAGAAAUUGCUAUAAUGUUUAUAUGAAAGAUGUAGAGGAAUGAGUUAGCUAACAUUUGGCACUGGUCUUGCCUCAAUUGGAGUUGUAUAACUCUAGAUAUGGGCAAAAUACCAUCAAGAGGUCAAACUAUCUGUAACAGGACAAUUUGGUUCUCAUAAUUAAAACUACUGUUAGAUAUAGAAGAUGAUAGAAAUUGUUGUAACAUUUUAUAUGAAAGAUGUAGAGGAAUGAGUUAGCUAACAUUUGGCACUAGUAUUGCCUCAAGUGGAGUUGUUUUACUCUAGAUAUGGGCAAAAUACCAUUAAGAGGUCAAAUUGUCCGUAACAGGACAAUUUUGGUUCUCAGAAUUAAAACUAUUGUUAGACAUAGAAGAUGAUAGAAAUUGUUGUAACGUUUUAUAAACAAGUUUUAGAGAAAUGAUUUAGCUAACAUUGGGACCUAGUCUUGCCUCAAUUGGUGUCAUAACCCAAUUUUGGGUUAUUCCCCAAAUUUCACUUUUUUUGAAAAUAAAAAAUCAAAAAAUAAAAUAAAGGCCGGCAAUGUGGAGAAAGCCGAUAAAAAAGACUGCAAAAAUCGAAGGUCAAAUUAAAUGCAAAUUCGAAGGUCAAAUUAAAUGAUUAUUGGAUGAAUUUGCAUAAAAUUUAAGUCCAAUGACACAAAAAUUGAGGGACCAAUUUGGAAACCCGAAAAAAUGUUUUGCCUAUAAAUAGCAGCUUUUAACUCAAAGUUAAGGGGGGGUCAUUUUGUAAGGGGGUAAUUUUGACAACAUUAGAAAAAAAUACAAAAAAAAACCUAAACCUAAACCCUUUUUUCAAGAGCAGCCGCUCCCCCCACGUUUUUUGUUUUUCCUCUCCGAGCAGCCGCCACCCCCUUUGGCCUGCGAUUUUUUGCUCCUGAAACAGCCCCUUUGCCUUGACAAAAGCAAGCCAGCCAGCUGCUAUUUCCCUUCCCAAAAAAUCCAAUAGGUCGCCGCUCUCCCUUCUCUUUGACAGCACAGAUUAGCCGGCCACUCAUCCCUCCCCCUGAUUUUUGCAAAACGAAACAGAGGGCACAAGACAGCCCCUGAUUCUCUUCCUCAGAACCAUUUCCAGCGGCCGGCCCUAUCUUCUCCCAAUUUUUCCAACACUGUAGCCGCAGCCCCCUACUCCUUUUUGGAAAGGAAAAAAACGGAGAACCAAAGACUUCACCCCUUAUUUUUCUCCCUCACCGAUCUGCCAUCCUCCAGCUCCCAGAACCAGAGCCCCAUUUCCAUCUUCUCUAAAAACGAACCAGAACUGGCCGCUACCCCCAUUUACUUAUCUCCCUCUCACGGACAAGCUCUCUUCCUCGGCUAACAGACCCAGCUCUCUCUCCCUUAACCUUUCCACAGCCGGUGACAGAUAAGUAAUACCAGAACCCAACGCAGUUCCUAUGCCUCUCCGCCCCCAGCUGGAAUUUCUUCACCUUCAACCCACAGACCAGCGGCUAGGCCAGCAUCACCAAACAGCCCCAUCUCCACCGAUCAGAGAACGGGCAGAGCCGUUCUCCAUUUCUGCAGACCCACGGUCUCCUUCGGAUAGCAGGUUUUUCCUCCAUAGUCCCAGCCAUUUCCAGCCACACCCAGCUCACUGCCUCCAGCAGUCUUCGUCAUCUCCUUCGGCGCCGUCUCCAGCUCCUCCACCAAACACAGCGGCGGCCCCGCCGUCUUCUUGUCCCCUCAGAGCCGACCGCCGCCUGGGGAAACGAAAAGAACAGAUCUGUAAUGAGCAGAUCCGAAAUGGGCAGAAGAAAAAAAAUUUAAAAACAGAUCUGAAACAAAAAAACUAAAAUCAACUGCUUUGUUUGUGUUUUUUUGUGUGUUUGCAGGUGACCGGACCCUCACCGCCGGCUGAAAAUUGAAGAGGAGAAGAAGCCGCUCCAGGCGCCUUUGUUUUUUCUGGUUUCCAGCAGCGGCGCGUGAACCCACGCGCCGCCAGUGACGGUGGUGCGUGGAUCCACGCGCCGGCACUGUUCAUGCAGCCCCCAGAAGUCCUUCCCUGCAAUUCCUGGAGUGUUGGGGGACUAUUUUGUAAAUUUUAAGUUAUUUAAUGUAAUUUUUAUUUAGUUUUUGAAUUUGCAUUUUUGUAAAUGUGAAUGUAAAAGAAAAAAAGAAGAAAAGAAAAUAAUAAAAAAAAAGAGUGUGUGUGUUGGUGUUCUUUUGUUAUUUUAUGUCAUUGAAUUGUAAAAAAUAAAAAAAAAUAAAAAGAAAAAUGUUUUUAAUAUUUUAAUGCACAAAUUCUAAGGAUGGAUAAAAUCAUGUUGUAUUUUCCAUGAAAAUGUAAGAACAUGUUUCUACAUAUAUUCUGGGAAUUUAUAACUGAUGUAUCGUAGCUUUAGAAGUGGGCUAAAAUUCUAUUUUAAAAAUUACAUUAAGCUCACGAAGCUUGAAUGUGGUGUGUGUAUUUUGUUUACAAAUUUUUUAUGAUAAAAUUGCAAGAACAAAGAAGGAUUUAAUAUUUUGAUCGGAUCAAAGGUGUAGAAGUACAAACUUGUACGGAAGUUGUAUUUCUAAAUUCCGAUGAAAAGACAAAAUUUUAAAACUUCUUUAACACAUCAAGUCCACGGAGCAGCUUACCUCAGGUAGGGUGCGUUAGGGGUGCUAAUACCUUCCCUAACCACAAUCAGUUCCUUACCCACGAAUCUCUUACCAUGACCAGUCCACCAGGGUUUCCUAGUAACCUCAAUUAAAUACUAGGUGGCGACUCCUAACAAACCAAUUUAAGCAAUACAACAACGAGACAUAAAAUCGUCAGCCGAUGCCGCGCGCGGGAUUUUUUCGACGUGCGACAAUUGGAAUUAUAGAACUUCAUAUAUAGGCAAACUACCAUUUAGUGGACAAGCUGUUUGUAACAUGACAGAUUUCACUACCUGACUUCAACUAAUUUUAAAAUAGCUGAACAAUAGAAUUUUGGGCAACCUCAUAUAAGAAAGUUGUACUUAAGGAUGUUAAAUUUCACUAGGAUUUGGCCCUAUAUGAAUCGAAGCUCUAGAACUCCAUUUAGAGACUAAAAAUUACAGACUGGUCAAGUUGUAAAUUAAAGGUAAGACAAAUUUACAUGUGUGUAGAAGACGAGUGAUUUUGGGCACGCUAUUGAUUCAUGUUGAAAUUAAUUCUUCCGAAUCAUGGGAGAUGUAUAUGUCAACAUUCAAAACAAACAUAUAAAAAGGUCUAGACGGAAAUAGAUGCUGAAAUUUUGUUGACAGUCAUAGAUACUGAAAGCUCGUUGAUGCAAAACUGAGUCGUGCGAACACUUCAACGUGAUAUACUAACUCCAAAGAAAUACACUUGAUAUGUAUAUGUACAUUACGAUGAGGAAAUGAACAUGCAUAGAUAGUAACAUAUGUAUAAUGAAUGAAUAUAGAUUGUCUAUAACAUUUAGCUUGAAGGAAUCAUGACCAAAGACUUCUUUGUGAAUCAAGAGGAGCGAUCGACCAGGAUUGGAUCUUCUAUUGGAGGAAGUCAAGAGGCAAGCGAAGCAGGUGCAUGGUUUCCCUCUCCUUAAUGCUUAUGCAAUUUAAAAUCUCCUUAAUGAAUGCAAUUACAAUAAUAUUAUGUUCAAAAUAAAUAAAGUAUGGUGUGUUAAUGACACAUUAGCUUCGGCUAAUGGCAUCCAUGAUAGGGAUAUCGAGAAAUGAAAUACAACAUUAGCUUCAGCUAAUGGCAUCCGUGAUAGGGAUGCCGGGAAAUUAAUUAUAAAGAUAGCUUUUGCUAAUGGCAUCCGUGAUAGGGAUGCCGGGAAAUUAAUUAUAAAGAUAGCUUUUGCUAAUGGCAUCCACGUUAAGACACCUGGAAAUGAUCAAUAAGGCUUGAUUUGUAAAGGGUAUCCAUAUUUGGAUGACCUAUAAAAUUUGAUAAGUAUAAUUGCCUAAAAAUAUAUAGGUUGGACUAUGCAAGGUUGAAGAUCUAAUAAAACCAAUUAAUCAAAGUUACUAGGUUCAUGUAAGAAGAUAAGAGAAAUAAAUUAAGAAUAUAACAAUAUGGAUUGUUACACGUGAGUCUAUAAAACUACCAGAUUUUGUUUAUUCUUGUUAUUCUUUAUCAUUUACUUUCUUUUUAGCUUUUGUUCAUUGUCUCUCUGAGCCAUCUUCCUAUAAAGAGGCAAUUCUUGAUCCUCUUUGGCAGCAAGCUAUGGAUGAGGAACUUUCUGCUUUGCAUAAGACAGAUACUUGGGAUUGGUUCCUCUACCUCUUGGUAAAAGUGUUGUUGGGUGUAUAAGAUCAAGACUAAUUCUGAUGGGUCUACUGGGCGAUAAAAAGCUAGGUUGAUUGGAAAAGGAUACUCUCAACAGUAUGGUAUGGAUUUUGAGGAGACAUUUGCCCCUGUUACAAAAAUGACUAUUAUUCGUACUCUUAUUGUUGUAGCUUCAGUUUGUUGAUGGCAUAUCUCACAACUUGAUGCUAAAAAUGCCUUCUUGAAUUGAGAUCUUUAAGAAGAAAUUUAUAUGGCGCCUCCUCCUAGUGUUUCACAUGACUCUGGGUAUGUUUGUAAGCUCAAGAAAGCGUUAUAUGGUCUCAAACAAGCACCUUGGCUUGAGAAAUUUUUUGUUGUGAUCUCAUCUCUUGGAUUUGUUUCUGGUAGUCAUGAUUCUGCUCUUUUUAUUAAGUGCACUGAUGUCGGUCAUAUCAUUCUAUCUUUAUAUGUAGAUGACAUGAUUAUUAUUGGUGAUGACAUUGACGGUGUCUCAGUUUUGAAGACAGAGCUGGCUAGAUAGUUUGUAAUGAAGGAUUUGGGUUCUCUUCGAUAUUUCCUGAUUAUUGAGGUAGCUUACUCACCUAGAGGUUAUCUUCUUUCUCAAUUGAAAUAUGUUGCAAAUAUUCUUGAGCGGGCUAGACUUACUGAUAACAAGACUAUAAACACUCUUAUUGAAGUUAAAGCAAGGUACUCUUUUUCUGAUGGUUUACCUUUGGUAGAUCCUACUUUAUACAAUAUUAUUGUUGGGAGCUUGGUAUAUCUCACCAUUACUCGUCUAGAUAUUGCAUAUGUUAUUCAUGUUGUUAGUCAGUUUGUUGUUCGAAAAAUUCUGCAUGAAAACAACUCCUUGUCAAACCUUCCUUCACAUAGCCUCAUCCCCAAACCCGAAUUGAACACUUGGGGGCAUAAUCAAGCUAGGGGGCAAUAAAGAAACAUAUGAUAGGGGUGGCUCCAUGAUUCCCAUUCUAAGAAAAUGUCGAGCAAAAUUGGCAACCCUUGAGAUAAAGGGGCGGAGGACAAAGAAGUUUGAUGAUAUCAAGUCUUUCGUAGAGGUCAAAAUCACAAGAGAUGACUCGAGUAAGCAGGAGCGAAAAAGCCAUCGAAGUUCACUGCCAACACUCCAACUUUUGAGAAAAGAAACACACCUUGAAGAAAUGGGGACCUAUAUUUCAAAUCAGGUAAGGAUGCAUGCAUAUCAUCUAACCUAAAAAAAAAAAAAUAUUUGCACAUAUUUUUGAAUUGUUAUAGGAAAAUCCUUAAUGAGGUCUAACAAGAUGGUGGAAAAAGAAAGAAGCAUUGUGGUAAUGAAAUAAAUAAUCGGUUUUGAUCAUGGAAUAAAAGGACGAUGGGAUGAACCCUACCAUUAGGAAAAUCCCAAAGAAAUGAAUAGAUCAACCUUGCAAUCGGGAAGCCUCGAGUUUUCAACUCUUGCAGUCAGGAAACACCGAGUUUUCAAAUCCUAUGAUCGGGAAUUAUCAGGAAGCACCAAGUUUUCCAGCCCUGCUUCUGUCAUCCCCUCAAAGACUUCGCCAGGUAAGUCCUAUUUUUCACACUUGUCAUAUCACAUUUUUUCCAUUUGGGUAGGUCACCCAUCACAACGAGACCGCUUUUUCAUAUUCUUUCCAUCUGGGUAGGUCACCCAUCAUAAUAAGACCGUUUUUUCAUAUUCUUUCCAUCUGGGUAGGUCACCCAUUACAAUGAGACCACACUUCAUAUUCUUUCCAUCUAGGUAGGUCACCCAUCAUAAUAAGACCGUUUUUCACAUUUUUUUUUUCCAUUUGGGUAGGUCACCCAUUACAAUGAGACCACACUUCACAUUCUUUCCAUCGGGGUAGGUCACCCAUCAUAAUAAGACCGCACUUCAUAUUUUUUCCAUCUGGGUAGGUCACCCAUUACAAUGAGACCGCACUUCAUAUUUUUUCCAUCUGGGUAGGUCACCCAUUACAAUGAGACCGCACUUCAUAUUUUUUCCAUUGGGUAGGUCACCCAUUACAAUGAGACCGCACUUCACAUUUUUUUCAUUUUGGGUAGGUCACCCAUCACAACGAGACCGUUUUUCAUAUUCUUUCCACAUGGGUAGGUCACCCAUUACAAUGAGACUACACUUCAUAUUUUUUCCACUCGGGUAGGUCACCCAUCACAAUGAGGCCAUCAUUUUUUCUGGGUAGGUCACCCAUUAGAAUGAGACCAUUCUCCAUUUUUUUUUACCUGGGUAGGUCACCCAUAAUAAUGAGGUCAUUCUUCCCCCUGGGUAGGUCACCCAUAAGAAUGAGACCACUCUUCCCCCUUUCCACUCGGGUAGGUCACCCAUCACAAUGAGGCCAUCACUUUUUUUCUGGGUAGGUCACCCGUUAGAAUGAGACCAUUCUCCAUUUUAUUUUUACCUGGCUAGGUCACCCAUAAUAAUAAGGCCAUUCUUCCCCCUGGGUAGGUCACCCAUUACAAUGAGACCACUCUUCCCCCUUUCCACUUGGGUAGGUCACCCAUCACAAUGAGGCCAUCAUUUUUUUUCUGGGUAGGUCACCCGUUAGAAUGAGACCAUUCUCCAUCUUUUUUUUACCUGGGUAGGUCACCCAUAAUAAUGAGGCCAUUCUUCCCCCUGGGUAGGUCACCCAUAAGAAUGAGACCACUCUUCCUCCUUUCCACUCGGGUAAGUCACCCAUCACAAUGAGGCCAUCAUUUUUUUUUUGGUAGGUCACCCAUUAGAAUGAGACCAUUCUCCAUCUUUUUUUUACCUGGGUAGGUCACCCAUAAUAAUGAGGCCAUUCUUCCCCCUGGGUAGGUCACCCAUAAGAAUGAGACCACUCUUCCUCUUUUCCACUUGGGUAGGUCACCCAUCGCAAUAAGACCAUUUUUCCUGGGUAGGUCACCCAUUACAAUGAGACCACUUGUUACACAUUCUUUUGUUUUGGUUAAAUGAGGUCGCCAGAUGGGAUCUCAGGUAGGUUUGGUUAAAGGGAAUCGCUAGAUGGGAUUUCAGGUUGACUGAGCUACACACAUUUUUUAGUUCCAGUUGAAUGAGGUCGCCAGAUGGGAUCUCAUGUAGCUUUGGUUAAAGGGAAUCGCCAGAUGGGAUUUCAGGUUGACCGAGCUACAACAUUCUUUGGUUUUAGUAUAGGAGAUCGCCAGAUGGCAUCUCAGGUUAACGAAAAGAGAGAGAGAAAAAAAGAUAAAGAGAGAGAAAGAAAGAAAGAAAGACAAGAAAAAAAUAAGGUCUUAUUCAACAGUGUUAAAAAGACAAGCAAACAAGUUUUUCUUUACAAAGCUUACUAUGUAAAACAUUGAGGAGUUUUGCUUCGUAAGCAUUGUAAAGAGGGGGCAUCUGUUGCUACCCAAUUUUUGACCCAUGUUUUGAUAUAUUUUCAAAUAAAUCCAAAAAUAGAGAAAAACAAUGAAAAUCCAAAAAAAUAUGUUUUUUAAUAUUCUCGUCAUUUUAGCAUUUUCAACGUCGUCUAGAAAAGAAUUUAAAUUUUUAAGGUCUUUCGAAUGCGUUCGACUUUUCACGCGUCAUUUUUUAAAAUCAUUGAUUUUCCUCAUCGAGUUGAUGUUGAUAUUGCUCAUUUUCAAAAAAUACAAAAAAUAUAGAAAAAUCAAAUUUAAAUUAAAGGGGGGGAAAUUUGAUAAAGGUAGCAAUAUUUCUACCUAUAAAUACUGGUUUCCUCAACACACUCAAGGGGGGGAAUUUUGCAAUUAAAGGGGAGGCAACACCAAAGAGAAAAAACCUAGAAAAGGCUUAGCUUUCUUCUCCCUCACCCGGGAGCAGCCGCCGCUCACCCCCCAUCCAAACAGAGACCAGACCCGACCAUUCCUUCCCCUGUCAUCUCACGCUCAACCCUCUCUCCCAAAACCAGAGCAGCCACCCAAACACCCCCCGAAUUUUGUUCUUCUUCCUCUUCUCCGAUAGGCUUGCCAACGGCCACAACCCGAAGCCACACAUAGCUUCCCCUCACAAAUAAACCUCCAGCCUUCCACCAUCUCCUUCUCACUUCCCCAUCACCCAAAAAGACCAAGCGGCCAUCUCUGCUCUCCCUCUUCUAAGCCGACAACACAGACGCCUCCACCACCAGCCAGCCACCACAGCCUUCCUAUCAGCAACGACUGCUUCCCCUUCGGUUUCCUCUCCCAGCGGCGGCCGAACAGCAGCGCCGGGGCAACACUUUCAUCACUCCUCCAAGCCAUCAACAACGCCUUCUUCUCCCUCAGCAGACGACCAACAACAACGGCGAAGCAGCACCGACAGACCAGCCGCCUCCCUAUCUUCCCCGAUCUCUUCCUCUCCAUCAACACCGGAGAUUCCUCCAGUAGCAACCAACACACGGCGCCCACAAAAUCACCUCCAGAACUGCCCCGCAGUGGCCACCGCAGCCGGCCAUCACUGGAUCUGCAACCAACGAAGGAAGAGAAACAGAUCUACAAAACAAAAACAGAUCUAAAAAUGAAACAAACAAACUAAAAUCAACUGCCUGUGUUGUUUUCAGGUGCUUUGCAGGUCGCCGCCAGUGUUGGGAGACUGAGAAGAAGAAGUCGAUCCCGAUCCCCCCUGUCUCUGGAGUUUCUUGCGGCGGCGCGUGGAGUAGACGCGCCCGCUGUUUGCUGCCCCAGAAGCCUUCCGCCUAUGUUCCCGUGCACUGUUCCUGCAUAUUCUAGAAGCCUUAGGAUGUGUUGGGGCUAUUCUGUAAUUUUAAAUGGUUUUUGAUGUAAUAUUUUUAUUUAGCAUUGAUUUUUAUUAUUUUUAUUGUGGAUGUAAAAGAAAAGGAAAAGAAAAGAAACAAAAAUAGUGAAAGUGUAUGGGUGUACUUGUAUUUGUUUUAUCAAUUGUUUUAUUUUUUUAUGAUAAAAUUGCAAAGAUUAAAGAAGAAUUUAAUAUUUUGAUUGGAUCACGGUCAAGAAUUAUUAACUUAUACGUAAGUUAUAUUCUAAUAUCCGAUAAAAGACAAAAUUUUAAAACUUCUUUAACACGUCAAAUUCGCGAAGCAGCUUACCUCAGGUAGGGUGCGUUAGGGGUGCUAAUACCUUCCCUAACCACAACCACUCCCUUACCCGCGAAUCUCUGACAAGACCAGUGUAUCCGAUUUCCUAAUAGCCUUCAAUAAAUUACUAGGUGGCGACUCCAAACAAACUCAUGCAUGCAUAACGCAACAACGAUAAAAAAUUGCCAGCCCGAUGCGGCGUGGAUUUUCCGACGUGUGACAGUGAGGAUGACAUGUCCUUAGAUGCCUAUCAAGAAGAGGCACAUGCGCCAUCAACUGAUUUUGCCUCUUCCAGCGCGGUUUCCCAACGCAGAGGCGGCGUGCCUUCGCAGCGGAAUCAAUUCACCUACAAGUACGAGGCACAGUGGAAGGACGAUCUUUCAAUGUAAGUUUGUUAAGGUUUUAUUUUUUUUUCAAAAAAUUAUAACAUAAUUUAUGAACAACUAAUCAAUAUUUCAUUAAUUUAAUUUAAUUUCAUGUUCACAAAAAUUAAGGGCGUCCAAGUAAUAUGAUCAACGUUUAAAUUGUAGAUGGAGAUUCCAUUAUUUCAAUGGAGUUACGUAUCUAGACAUCCUGAAUGGAUACCUCAAAUCGAUGCAUGGUUUGACAGAUUUUAUGUUGGUGUUAAUUUCUAAUUUCCAAUGUAUUUCUAAUAAAUUAUUAAUAUAAUUGUAAAUAAAUUAUUAUUUUUAUUUAAAAUUAAUUAUUUAUACACAGGACAAAUUCGACUGGUACAGUGUGCAUGACACUAUUGUGAGGAGGGUGCGGGAAAAUCACGCAACAACUAGGUAACAUCGAAAACAAUACAAGAUUUUUUUAGAAAAAAAUUUAUGUUUCAAAAUCUAAUUUCUUGUUGUGGAAGUAGGUUGCGUGAUUUUUGAUAGGAAGCACAAAAAAUGCAAAAAAAGCUACGAGGGAUUUCAAACUAAUAUACAUCCCGGUAGAUAUAUGGCCGAACUAUCUUGAGCUCGUGAUGUCUGAGCGGUUCACACGAUGCUCACAGUCUGGUGCUGGCAACCGGAAUCGGCUAAUUCAUGGCUCGGUGACAAUGCACACUGGCGGCUCCGUUCCAUUUGCUGUAUUUGCGAAACGGUUGGUAAGAUUAAUUUAAAUGAAAUAUAUCAUUAAAUUAAGUUGUUGUUAAUUAAUUUGUUUCAUUAUAGGCUACGUCUCUUGGACAUGAGCCGAGCCCAAUGGAGUUGUUUGUUGAGACGCAUAUGCGGAGUCAAGAUCGUCAAAAGGGGGCACAAUAUUUCAUUGACAGUCGUGCUCAACACUUUGUGGUAUGUUUGUUCAACCAUUUUAUUUUGUAUGUUAUUAUUUUUAUUGAAUUGAAUAUGAUGAUUACUUUUUCAUUUUCAGGAGACUUAUAAUAGCCGAUUGAGGGAGAGAUACAGGGACAAUCCUUCGACCCAUCUGGAUUUCGAUCCGGAUUUGUUGAUGGAGGUUGGAUCAUCUAGUGGACCCGAUAAAAAUCAGGUGUACGGGCUCUCCAACAUUACGGCCGAAAACUUGCGGGCGGCCCGUAGUGUCUCAACCAUUGGGAGCUCCUAAUUAGUAUUGUGCAGCCAAUCUAAAGAGUUUGUGGCCUUGCAGCAACACAUGGCUUAGCUCACCAAAAAAUACAACCACCUAUAGGCAAGGUAUACACAACUCUCGGUGAAAUUAUGAACAACUUCGUCAAAUGGUCACGAACAUGACAUCACAUAAUGGUGAUACAUGUGUGCCUCCUCCUUUUUGGCCGUAUAACAAUCAACCUCCUCCUUCAGCUCCACCAUUAUGUUAAUUUGUAAUGAAUAUUAUUUAACUUUAAUAGUUAAUUUAAUAUAUUUUUUAAACACAUUCAAUUUGUAAUGAAUAUUAUUUAACUUUAAUAGUUAAUUUAAUAUUUUUUUUGAAACACAUUCAUUUUGUAAUGAAUAUUAUUUAACUUUAUUUUUUUGUUUUUGAUGUUUAAUAAAAAAUUUAUCUGCAUAAUUGGUUUUUUUUACUAUUAAUUUAUAUAAUUUUAUAUUAUAUAUUCUAAAUAUUUUUUAAAAAACAUAUUUAAAAAUAAUCAUAGAGGGUUUUACCAACGGACUGUAUCGGUCGGCAUUUGACAAAGAGCAGGAAAUGUCAAUCUUACGAAUUAAUUUACAGAUGGAAUACAUUUUUUGGCAUUUCACAGUAGUUGGGUGCAAAUUUCACAAUCAACAACGACUUGACCAACGGAUAUCGUCUGUCGGUAUUUCACACACUCAUCGAAGGAAUACAUCCGUCGAUAUAUUUCAAGCGGGAUUUUUUUUACGCGUAAUUUCCAUUUGUAAAACCAUUGGCAAUUGUUUUUUUUUACCAAACGAUGUAGCGACUGAAUGAGGUAUUACCAAUGAAAAGAAAGCAAACAGAAGAUUUCUGUAGGGAAUGUCGUUGGUAAAAAAAUUACUAACGAACUUGGAAUCAUAGACGGAUGGAAUAGUUCCGUCUGUAAAACAGUGAAAUCUUGUUGUGGGAAGUGGCAUAGUAAAGACAUCUGUCCUGCAGCCCAGACACUGUUCAGUGUUCAUCCCAUAUCAUGAGUUUUAGAAGUCCAAAUGACCUCCAUUUUUUUUUUCCUGGAAAGCUAAGUCAAUUUCCUACAACUUUAAUGUUUUCAAGUGGACCCAGUUCUGAUGCUAGAAAUUUCAUUUUAUUCUGACAAUAAGAUAAGGAUUUUCACAAAGUCAAGAGUUGGCCACCCACUCAACAAUUAGUCAUCAUAUCAAUAAUUCCGAAUUUUGGCCUAUAAAAGGAGGCAUUUGCCAUGUAUUUUGGGGCUUGGUGGUUCAGAUCAAGAAGCCCUUCCUCUCUCUCUUUAUAGUUUUUGUAAUUCUUAAGUUUUGCUUUCAUUAAUAUCUUGUUUAUGUUUUUCAUUUCCUUUCCUUUCCUUAGUUAACUUGUAUCUUAUUUAUGUUCUUGUUGUUUAUUUAUGUUUCUCUUCUUCAUUAUGUUUAGCUAAGUUUAUUAUGUCAAGGUAAAAAGGUUACACUAAUGGUGUAAGAAUAAGUAUAGUGUAAACUCAACAUGAACCUUAAUGUUUAAUAUUAACAUGUCUUAUCUUUUUAUCUUACUAAUUCUUAAUACCUUGCUUGUUAAAUGGUUAAUCUAGAUUUGUGUUGUUUAACACUUGGUACAACAAAUGCUUGGCACUCUCAUAGCCCAACCGUAUGGUAUUACCUACACCUGUGCUAUGAAAGGAACUUGAUUUGUUGUUAACAUAAGUUAGCAUCAUGAAUUCCUGACAAUAUUUAAAAGUUUGGUGUUAUGUAAACAAGAUAAUUAAUAUGAUCAUGUUAACAAUUUAUAAUGAGCUAUUAAUGACAAAUCAUCCGAUUGGAACCUCCUUCGUGUGUGGUUUCCAGUUGAGUAAUAAGAGUUUAUACUAUACUUGUUUCAAAUACCAUCAGUGGAUACUCUAACCUUGACAUUUGUUUUUAUCAUUGUUUAAUCCUUACAUUAAUCUUCCAUCUCAAAGUUCUCAUUAAUUUAUUCAUCCUCUUCUUUUUAUUAUUAUUAUUAUUAUUAUUAUUAUUAUUCUUGUUAUAUUUUAUGUACGUUAAGUAUGCUCUAUGUUUGAUCAAGGAUCCUGAUAUUGUUGAUCGUGCCUUGUUCAUUCGCAUCAGAAAUCUGUUUAUAUUAUAUAAUAUAUCUCUUUGAUCUUUUCAUAAACUUAGUAUAUAGGCUGGAAACCUGUGACUCGAUCUUUUAGAUUAUUCUCAGGUAUAACAACGCCACGUACUGAGUAUUAUUAUUAUUAUUAUUAUUAUUAUUAUUACUAUUACUAUUAUUGUUAUUAUUGUUGUUGUUAUUGUUGUUAUUAUUGUUGUUGUUGUUGUCUUGUUAUUUAUAAUUUAUACAAUUAACCUCUCUGUGGUUCGACCCAAGUCUUGCCGGGUUAUUUAUUACUUCGACACUCCUACACUUAGGAGAAGACAUCAAUCUUUUGGUCGUGUCAAGUUUUUGGCGCCGUUGCUGGGGAGGUAAAUUCUUGUACAAAUUAUAGUAUUUAUUUUGUUUUCUCUUUUCACUUUUCUUGUAUCUAACUUUGUUUCUUUUUCUAUUGUUUUGUUCUUCCUUUUAUUCUCUUUCUACACGUGCAUGAGUAUUUGGUCACAUACAUUAAGUGGUAGACUUUGUAGGGUAUCCUCAUCAUUUUUCAAAAAAUAUGGCUGAAGAAGAUAACCAGUCACUUCAUAAUGAGAAUAAUGAGAAUAACCGUGUUAGGACACCUAGAGACCACAUGAAUCCCACAAGAACAAGUGCACCCUCAUGCAUAGUUUUCCCUCCUGAUGCAUCCCAUUUUAAUUUUAAGCCAGACAUUAUUCAACUUUUACCUUCUUUUCAUGGCUUAGAUCUAAAAAAUCCAUACUUGCAUUUGAGAGAAUUUGAAGAAGUUUGUAAUACAUAUAAUGACUUAAAUUGUAGCAUGAAUACCAUUAGAUUAAAGCUUUUUCCUUUUUCAUUAAAAGAUAAAGCUAAAACAUGGCUAUAAAAUCUUAGGUCAAGAUCCAUUCGUGCUUGGGAUGAAAUGCAACAACAGUUUUUAAAGAAGUUUUUUCCAUCUCACAGAACCAACUCUUUCAAAAGACAAAUCACCACUUUCACCCAAAAACCAGAUGAAACAUUUUACCAAUGUUGGGAUAGGUAUCGAGACUUGCUUAAUACUUGCCCGCAUCAUGGUUUUAAAACAUGGAGAUUGGUUUCACAAUUUUAUGAAGGAUUAACACCUAAAGAUAGGCAAAUGGUUGAAUUGAUGUGCAAUGGAACUUUUGAAGAUAAAGACCCUAAUAACGCAAUGGAGUACCUAGACUUGCUAGCUGAAAAUGCGCAAAAUUAGGACACUACAGGCACUUAUGAGGCACCAAUUAAAACCCAACCUCAUACAUCUAGUGGAGGUAUGUAUAACCUUAGGGAAGAUCAUGACCUUCAAGCCAAGUUUGCAUCUUUAGCUAGAAAAGUCGAGGCACUAGAAUUAAAUAAGAGUGGUCAAUUAAAAUCUAUUCAAGACAUUGUGUGUCAAAUCUAUAAAACAAAUGAACAUGCAACCAAUGACUGUCCAACUUUGCCUUCUUUCAAGGAAUGCCUCCAUAAACAAGCCCAUGCUUUAAACAGUUUCCAAAGGCCCAAUCAUAACCCAUACUCGCAAACAUACAAUCCUGGUUGGAGAAAUCACCCAAAUUUCAGUUGGAAGAGUGAUAACAAUAAUGCACAAACUUCACAGCCACCGUUUCAAGCACACCAUAAUUUCCAAAAUUCUCAUGGAUAUGCACCUCCUUAUGCUCCACCUCCUAGAAGAAAUCUUGAGGAAACAAUACAUGCAUUCAUUGAAAAGCAAGAGACAAUCAACACUCAACUUGCUCAAAGCAUGACAAAUUUUAAAGAUGCUCUUGAAAAAUUCACAUUUGCUCUUAGUUUUCAAGAGAAAGGUAAAUUUUCAUCUCAACCACAACAAAAUACAAAGGGGCAAUACAAUGCAAAUGCAAGUAGUUCCAAAAGCCAACACAUGGAUCAAGUCAAAUCAGUCAUCACUCUUCACAGUGGUAAGGUUAUUGAAAAACCCAUUCUUGAACCUUGUGAGAAAGAUGAUGAGUCAAUCUCUAAAGGUAAGGAAGGGGUUGAAUCUGAACAUUGUAAAGAAAAGACUGAUUCUCCGCCAACACUUCCAUUUCCUCAUGCCAUGACCAAACAAAGGAAAGUCAAUCACAAUUCUGAAAUCCUUGAAACUUUCAAACAGGUAAGGAUCAAUAUACCUUUGUUGGAUGCUAUUAAACAGGUAAGUUUCUAUGCUAAAUUUUUAAAAGAUAUAUGCACUGUGAAGAGAAAACUGAAUGUGAAAAAGAAAGCAUUUUUAGCCGAACAAGUAAGUGCUAUUCUUCAGAACAAUAAUGCUUUGAAAUAUAAAGACCCUGGUUUUCCUACAAUUUCUUGCUUUAUUGGAGAACGUAAAAUUGAAAGAGCUUUACUUGAUCUUGGAGCUAGUGUGAAUUUACUUCCAUAUUCGGUUUUUCAAAGUCUCAAUCUAGGUGAGUUAAAACCAACUUUUAUAACUCUUUUACUUAUUGAUAAAUCUGUAAAAGUACCUAGAGGAAUAGUUGAGGAUGUGUUAGUACAAGUUGAUAAAUUCAUUUACCCUGUAGAUUUUAUAGUCUUGGAUACACAACCUGUUGAAACAUGUAAUUCAAUUCAUGUCAUUUUAGGACGUCCAUCUCUUGCAACUUCUAAUGCAUUGAUUAAUUGUAGGAAUGGACUGAUGAAACUAUCAUUUGGAAACAUGACAUUGGAGAUGAAUAUUUUCAACAUUUGCAAGCAACCUAGAGAUGAUAAUGAUUUAUAGGAAAUGGACUUUAUUGAAAAAUUAGUUCAUGAUCAAUUUCAAACCACUUCUAGUGAAACUGAGGUUGAUGAACCUGGCGAGUUGCAAAUGGUUUAUUUUCAGGAAAAAGCAAAGGCAUGUAAUUGGAGACCACAAAUUGAAGAACUGCCACCACAAUCAAUUGAGUCCAUACCUUCAAGUGUUCAACCACUAAAACCUGAUUUGAAGUCGUUACCAGUCAAUCUCAAAUACUCAUUUUUGGGAGAAAAUAAAACUUUUCUGGUAAUAAUCUCUUCCAAACUUAAUGCAUAUCAAGAAGGUAAGUUAUUACAGACUCUGAAAAUGCACAAAAAUGCAUUAGGAUGGACCAUAGCUGAUAUAAAAGGAAUUAGUCCUUUGAUUUGCACAUACAGAAUUUAUUUGGAGGAAAAUUCUAAACCAUCUAGAGAAAUGCAACGAAGACUUAAUCCUAAUAUGAAAGAAGUAGUGAAAAAUGAAGUCAUUAAGCUUGUUGUAACCCAUUUCUGGGUCCCCACAUAAAAAAUAAUAAAAUACAAAAAAAUUCAAAAAAAUAUAUUAUCAAAAAAUAUAACAGUGAAAAAAUGCCGGAACGCCCUAAAAAUGCUCAAAAAUUGAUUGAGGAUUUUUAAAAAUAUAAAAAUUAUUUUUUGACAGUAUAUCAUUGACUGAUGAGAGCCCCGAUGAUAAAGAAAAUUCAAUUUGAGGAAGAAAAAUGCAAAAUCAGAAGUUUAUGGACUCAAUUAAAUUUUAUUAAAGGUUUAAUUGCAUUUAUGAAGAUUUUAAUUGCAAGAAAAAUUGAUUUUGGAGUUAAUUUGGGCUUUAAUUAGGAGAAAUUAAUUUUCUGGGGUUAAAUUAUAAUUUUUGGAAGUUAAUUUGGUCAAAUCAGGGGCUUAAUUGCAUAACUAUUGAAGUUUAAUGGCCAAUUAGGGACUUAAUUGAAGAAAUCCGAGACCAAGGACUAAAAUGCAAAACGCGCGCAAAUUGAGGGACUUCUUUGAAUCUGAUGCGUUUUGGUGCCUUUUCCUUUUAAAUGAAACGGCGCGUUUUGACCAAAACGGCGCCGUUUCAUCCACUGUUGCAAAAAAAAAAAAAAAAAAAAGAAAAGAAGAAGAAGCCCAAAACGGUGCCGUUUUGAAGGCACUGUAGGUCUUCUUCUUCCUCUGGACGCGCGAGGCAGGGGAAGAAGAAGAUUUUUCUUCUCCCUUUUCGCCUACUUUCUUUCCCCUUUUUUUGCGCAAAAAGACGCCCACCAUUGCCUAACGUUUAUCCUUUGAAACGGUAGUGGAGGGGGCGGCCAACAGUGGCCGCCCCACCAUGACGUCUCCCCUGUUUUUUGCCUAUAAAAACAGGGGAGAACCAAAGAAGAAAAAAAAGAAAACAGAAGAGAAGAAAGGAGGAGACCGAGAGAAAGGAGACUGAGGGAGAGAGAGAGGGCAAAGAAGAAGAAGAAGAAGCAGAAGCAGCAGAGAAGAAAAAUAAAAAACAGAAGAGAGAGAGAAGGGAAAUGCAGAACCACCGUGCCUCCGCCACCAUCGCCUCCGCUGCCACCAGCAGCACCGCCUCGAUGCCACCGCAGGUAAUCUCUCGCCGCCUUGUCUCCUUCUCCGUUUGCUGCCUCCCUCGUUUGCAUGCAGAACGUGAAUUAAUUCACGUUCUGCAGCUGAAGAGGGCUGGUUACUGUGCUUAGGCACAGUAACCAGCCCAUUUGGUAAUGGGCCGGGUUGGCCCAGCCCAUUGAUAUGGGCCGGACCCGGCCCAUUUCAAUUUUUUUUUUCUCAGAAGUUUUUUUACAAUUUUUUGGCACAUUUUUUUUUAUCAAUUUUGCUUAAUAUCGGUCUAUAUUUUACAUCGUAAAAAUAUAAAUUCGGUAUUAAAAUACCCGGUUUUCGUCCUGCGGUACUGUUCACACAACAUAAAAAAUCAAAAAUAUUUGUUUCGACAUUUUAUAAUUUUUCCGCGUCAUUUUUAUGUCAUUUUGAUUGAUAUCGGGCAGUAUUUUUACAUCGUAAAAAUAUAAAUCCGGUAUUAAAAUACCCGGUUUUCGGCAAAAACUUCCAAAAAUAAAAACAAAUUAAAAAAAGAUAAAAAAAAUGUUUUUGUGCAUACGGCCAAGUGUCUCAAAUCUAAAAAAUCAUAUCGUAUUUUUCAUAUGUCAAAAAACAAUAUUUUAGCAUGCAUUUUGGCUUUAAUAACCAGUUUAUUAAAGUCAAGAGAACAUUGGCCAAAAUCUCAAAAACAACAAAAUAUUUUAUUUUGUUUGAUUUUAGUAUCAGGGAUUAUGAAUUUAUACGUAAAUCGUAUUCCUGAUAUUAAAAAGAUAUUUUCUUUUUGACGACUUUGAAUAGUUAGUUUUUUACCCGAUAAAGAUAAGGAUCUCCUUACAGAGGAGGACUUUUCUUAAACCGUAAACUAACCAACAAUUCAAAAACCACAACACGAUUUUAGAUUUUAUCAGACAUUAAAACAAUGCAGCCUACCUUAGGUAGGGCGUAGUUGGGGUGCUAAUACCUUCCCUUUACGCAACUAGUCUCCGUACCCAAUCUCUAAAGACCAGUUAAGGUUUCUAGUAACCAGAAUACUAGGUGGCGACUCCCAGUCCAUAUUUUCACUUGUAGAGACAAGAAUUCCUUGUCCCUCCCUAUUUUCCAGGAAUAAAAUAUUCCGAUUUUUCCUUGAGGGUGGACGAUCGUCGCGCCGCCGCACACGUGCGACAAAGCUUCUAGUUAAUGGAAUCAUUUAUCCUAUUUCUGAAAGCAAAUGGGUAAGUCCUACCCAAGUUGUACCCAAAAAGUCAGGAGUCACUGUGAUAACAAAUGAGAAAAAUGAGUUAAUUCCAACUAGGACUAUUACUGGUUGGCGCAUGUGCAUUGACUAUAGGAAACUUAAUUCAAUGACUAGAAAAGAUCAUUUCCCUUUACCUUUCAUGGAUCAAAUCCUAGAAAGAGUUGCAGGUCAUGAAUUUUAUUGUUUCCUAGAUGGUUAUUCAGGUUACAAUCAAAUUGAAAUUGCAUUGGAAGAUCAACAGAAGACUACUUUCACAUGUCCAUUUGGUAUUUUUGCAUAUCGAAGAAUGCCUUUUAGGUUAUGUAAUGCACCAGCCACGUUUCAAAGAUGCAUUCUUAGCAUAUUCAAUGAUAUGGUUGAACGUUUUCUUGAGAUUUUUAUAGAUGAUUUUUCUGUUUUUGGUGAUUCAUUUGAUGAUUGUUUAACUAACUUAGAAAAGGUUUUGAACAGGUGUGAAGAGAAGAAUCUUGUACUGAAUUGGGAAAAAUGUCACUUUAUGGUAACCAACGACAUUGUACUUGGUCACAUUGUUUCAUCGAAAGGAAUUGAGGUUGACAAAUCUAAAAUCGAGUUAAUUGCCAACUUACCAACACCAAAAUCUGUUAAAGAUGUUAGAUCAUUCUUAGGACAUGCUGGUUUUUACAGAAGGUUCAUCAAAGAUUUUAGUGUAAUAUUUAAACCAUUGUAUAACCUUCUAACAAAGGAAAAUGUUUUUGAAUGGACUGAACAAUGUAAAAAAGCCUUUGUUAAACUUAAAAGCUUGCUUACUUCUGCUCCUGUCAUUCAACCUCCUGAUUGGUCACUUCCUUUUGAAAUAAUGUGUGAUGCUAGUGAUUAUGUCGUGGGUGCUAUCUUAGGACAAAGAAAAGAUAAGAAACCUUAUGUGAUUUACUAUGUAAGUAAAACUUUAAAUAGUGCUCAAAUGAAUUACACUACCACUAAAAAAGAAUUACUUAUAGUAGUAUUUGCAUGUGAUAAGUUCAGAUCUUAUCUUGUUGGCUCACCUGUUGUUGUUUUUAGUGAUCAUGCAGCAUUGAAAUAUCUUCUCUCUAAAAAAUAUUCUAAGGCUAGAUUGGUGCGGUGGAUUUUGUUACUUCAAGAAUUUGAUAUCACAAUCAAAGACAAGAAAGGCACCGAAAAUGUUGUUGCAGAUCAUUUGUCAAGAUUGACAACCGAUUCGAGAUCUGACAUCACACCAAUCGAUGACUACUUUCCUGAUGAAUCUUUAUUUUUUGUCUCUACAAUGCCUUGGUUUGCUGAUAUUGUUAAUUUUCUUGUUUUAGGACAAUUGCCAGCUCAUUGGAGUACCCAAGAUAAAAGAAAGUUCUUAAACGAAGUGAAGAACUUUUAUUGGGAAUCCCUCGAGCCAUGAUAAGUGAUGGUGGAACACAUUUCUGCAACAAGCCAUUUGAGUCUUUAAUGAAGAAAUAUGGAAUCACACACAAAGUUGCCACCCCUUAUCACCCUUAGACGAGUGGACAGGUAGAACUUGCUAAUAGGGAGAUCAAACAGAUCUUAGAGAAAACAGUGAACCCUAAUCGGAAAGACUGGUCUUUAAGACUUAAUGAUGCACUUUGGGCUUAUCGAACUGCAUAUAAAACAUCAUUAGGUAUGUCACCUUAUAGACUAGUCUAUGGAAAACCUUGUCACUUGCCUGUGGAAAUUGAACAUAAAGCUUAUUGGGCUAUUAAAGCUUUCAAUUCAAACAUUGAUGAUGCUAGUCAGCUGCGAAAAUUGCAAAUAAAUGAGCUUGAGGAAAUAAGAAAUGAUGCAUAUGACAAUUCAAGAAUUCAUAAAGCAAGAAUCAAAGAGUUUCAUGACAAGAAAAUACUGAGAAAAACAUUCAAUGUUGGUCAAAAAGUCUUGCUUUAUAAUUCUCGACUCCAUUUAUUUCCUGGAAAACUAAGAUCAAGAUGGAGUGGUCCUUUUAUUGUGAAACAUGUGUAUCCAUAUGGGGCCUGUGAUAUCGAAAAUCCAAAGAAUGGUAAUGUUUUCAAGGUAAAUGGCCAUCGUUUGAAAGUUUAUUUUGAUAAUUUUUCAGUUGAAAAUGACUCUAUUGAAUUGGGUGAUCCUGUAUAUAAAGAUUGAUUCUUUUUCUCACAUUGUUUUUGUGUGACUUUUGUUUUGCUAGUCUCUCACCCCGGUCAAAUGGCGGAUAACGGUACUCCGUGACUCUUUUAAGUCGGUUCUUUCAGUUUCCCAUGAUAACUGAUAUCUGUGUAUAUAUUUGUGCAAUUCUUUGCUCUUUCUCCUUUCUUUGAAUCUCUCCCCCAAUUCUUAGUUGAAAAUGGACACCACUAUUGAAAAAUUGAAAAAGUAUUUUCCCGCUCUGCCUCAGAAUGCGAUUACAAAAAUUUACCGUGCUAGGUGUGAAAGAUUGAGGUUGUUAAUGAACCAUGGAAUUCCUGAAGAUAUUCAUUGGCUAAUUGAAGCAAAGGUCCGAUUAUCAGGUGAGUCCUCCAAUUCUUUCAUUUCAUACAUGCCUGGAACAGGUAAAAGCACUUUUGCAAAGAAACGUCAUGCAAAACGACUGAAAGUCUGUCAUAGAUGUGCCAGAUGGACUUGUAAUGCGACAUGGCGUUCUUUAGGAAUGAUAUCUGUAAACCGUGAAGAUAAAAUACAAUUAAUUAAGGAUGGCCUAAGUAAGGGGUCUUUAGAUAAUCUUCUAUUGACUCUUGAGACGCACCCUAGUGGAGAUGUGCAUCGUGCAAUUUAUGAUUUAUGGCCACAAUUCCAUAAAGAACAUGCUCGACUUAGUUUUGGGAAUCUGACUAAAAAAGACCUUGUUUGCCAGUUUUUAAGAAAACUGGAUGGGAAGCCUAUCCCCGACCCAUAGAGGGCGUUUAAGCCGUUCUUGGACGUAAAACCAAGGAAAGAUGUGAGCCACAAUCACAACUACCUGUACAUACACAUGCUUUUUCAAAAUAAAUAAUAAAGAGAGAGAGAGAGAGAUGAGACUACACUGGCCUACAUAUAGGUGGUAUGAUUGCAUUUUCAAUUUCUCAUCUAUAAAUUCUUCUCUUCCUUCCCUUCAUUUCUACUCAACCCAUACAUUCAUCAAAUAUAGAAGUGUGUAGAAAUGGCAGGUUCCUCAAGUCAUCACAUAAACAAUAUUUGUGUUUUCGGUGGAUCCAGUCCUGGGAAAGAAAAAGAGUUUUUAGAAUCAGCAAAUCAUCUUGGUCAGGUACUAGCUGAGCGAAAGAUUCAUUUAGUGUAUGGAGGAGGCAGCCUUGGGUUAAUAGGGGGAGUGUCAAUAGCUGCAUUUUUAGGAGGUAGUCAAGUUUUGGGGGUUGUCCCCAAAGCUUUAGCACAAGGGGACAUCAUUGGAAAAACAAUUGGAGAGGAAUUACAGUCCCCACAAUGUCUGAUCGACUGAAUGCAAUGUUUAACCAUGUGAUGCCUUCAUUGCCUUACCAGGUGGUCUGGGCACAUUGGAAGAGAUCUUUCAUAUUUCCUCUUGGGCCCAACUGCACAUUCACCAUAAACCCAUAGGUUUGUUAAAUGUUAAUGGUUUUUAUGAUAAGUUGUUGUCUUUUCUUGAUCAUGUUGGAACAGGAAUUUCUAACAUCUUCAGCACGACAAAUCAUAAUCUCUGCUGCUACUGCUGAACAAUUGAUUGACCAACUACAAUCUUUCAUCCCUGUAAUUAAUCCCUCCAUGAGUCGCAUAAAUUGGUCAACUAAGGAAAGCCGUAAAAAGCUUAGAUUGGAUUUGAGCCUUCGUUUGUAAAAACUUUGUAUCUUUUGGUUUUAUUAUUGUGUUUUGUUGCUUCUUAUAUUUGUUUAAGUGUGUUUCAGGUUUGUUAGUGUUCGCUAUUUCAGGUGAUGUCUUCUAUACUCUAUCUUUCUACCUUAAGACAUUGAGGACAAUGUCUCAUUUUGGUUAGGGGAAAGGGUAGUAGUUGAUAUUUAAAAAAAAAACUAUGUUUUCUAUUUAAUAAACUAUUUGCAAAACUGUUGUUACUAGGAUGGCAGAGUAAAAGGAGUUCUUUUGUUAAAGUGACUCUUGAGAUGCAUCUUAGUAAACAUUCUUAACAAGGUCUAUCAGAAUACUUCUUGAAAUAUUCAGGUUUACAAACUCUCGUAUUGUUAGCACUUGAUUAUGCUCAUAUGCUUAUUUAACAAGUAUUUUUAAAUCUUCAUUUUCACACACACAUACACACUUUAACAUAUGAUUGUGGGUUGCACAUUGGAUUAUUACAUUAUUUAUGUUCUUUUGUUAAAGGUAACAACUAAGGAAAAGGGAUAGUACAUAAUUUGCAAAAAAAAUAACAAAAAAAAAUAAUGAUAAUAAAAAGGUAGAUAAUUUUGGUUUCGUAGCCUCCCUAACCUAACCAAUUAAGCCCGAAGGGGUGUUUUAACACUUAAUACCCUAAAGUCAACUGACUUGGGAGCUAUUGGCCCAACGCUUGUUACAUGGGUUAAGGAGAAAAGCUUAAGGGAAUCAAACAUUGCACUAUCUAUGUAUCAGUAUCUGCAACCCGAGUUGCUAAGCUCGUAGGGGUGUCUCAACACCUAAUGCCCUAAGACCAACUGGUCUGGGAGUCAUUAGCCUAAAGCUCGUUACAUGGGUUAAAGAUACAUUGUGUUUUAAGUUGUAUGUGUAUAUAAAUAAAAAAUAAAUAAAAAAAAAAAAAGAAAAAAUAAUCCCAACCCAAGGAAGUUAACCUUAAACAUUAGAAAAAAUUUUUUUUCUUCUAAAGCCCCAUAACUAUAUGUUGAUAUUUUGAGCACAAAAGAAAGGUUUAGUAAUAUCUUGUUUAGAGGUAUUGAGCAUAUAUAUGAAUUUAAUGAGAGUUUGUUUAUCUUGAUAGAUUAAAGUAAGUUGAAUGAUGAAUGCCUUGCUUUAUGGAAUUUGCAAAUUGUUUUUUCUAUUUUAACGCUUUGAUUACUAGGAACUAGUAAUAAGCUGGUUGGGGGGUGUGAUUAGUACUUAAAAGCGCAUGUUUAUCAAAGGUUUAUAUCAUUAUUUUGCACUUGAAGUAUCAAUAACUCCUUAACUAAAGCAUGUUUUAUAAUAACAAGUCUAAUACUAUAAGAUACCUUAAUAUAUUGUAAAUGUUCAUCUUAAAUGCAGACAUAUCACAUAAAUGAAAGGAUUGAUUGAUGAAUUCAACUACUGAAAUUUAUGAAGAUAAAGAGAGGGUGAAGCUUAGAAAAGAGAUGUUGGUGCAGUCCAAACUGGAACACUAUUCGGUAAUUGGGUCAUAUCUCGAGUUCUAGAUGUCCAAAUGAUCUCAAAGUUUUACACAAAUUCAGUAAGAAAUAGGCCUACAACUUUCAUGUGGACACCAAGAUCUAAGAAGGCCGUUUUGAAAUCCAAAUUAUAGCAACAACGGAGAAGUCCGAAUUUGUCCUGCAGCCCAGACACUGUUCAGUGUUCAGCCCAUAUCUUGAGUUUUAGAAGUCCAAAUGACCUCCAUUUUUUUUCCUGGAAAGCUAAGUCAAUUUCCUACAACUUUAAUGUUUCAAGUGGACCCAGUUCUGAUGCUAGACAUUUCAUUUUAUUCUGACAAUAAGAUAAGGAUUUUCACAAAGUCAAGAGUUGGCCACCCACUCAACAAUUAGUCAUCAAAUCAAUAAUUCCGAAUUUUGGCCUAUAAAAGGAGGCAUUUGCCAUGUAUUUAGGGGCUUGGUUGUUCAGAUCAAGAUGCUCUUUCUCUCUUUAUAUUUUUUAAUUCUUAAGUUUUGCUUUCAUUAAUUUCUUGUUUAUGCUUUUCAUUUCCUUUCCUUAGUUAACUUGUAUCUUAUUUAUGUUCUUGUUUUAUUUAUGUUUCUCUUCUUCAUUAUGUUUAGCUAAGUUUAUUAUGUCAAGGUGAAAAGGUUACACUAAUGGUGUAAGAAUAAGUAUAGUGUAAACUCAACAUGAACCUUAAUGUUUAAUAUUAACAUGUCUUAUCUUUUUAUCUUACUAAUUCUUAAUACCUUGCUUGUUAAAUGGUUAAUCUAGAUUUGUGUUGUAUAACACUUGGUACAACAAAUGCUUGGCACUCUCAUAGCCCAACCAUAUGGUAUUACCUACACAUGUGCUAUGAAAGGAACUUGAUUUGUUGUUAACAUAGGUUAGCAUCAUGAAUUCCUGACAAUAUUUAAAAGUUUGGUGUUAUGUAAACAAGAUAAUUUAUAAUAAUAUAUAAUAUAUUAUAGGGUUGGGCCGGCCCAAAUAAAUGGGCCAGGCUCAGCCCCAAAAAAGGGGCGGGCUGAGAUCGGCCCGAAAUGUCAUGGGGCCGAUCUCGGCCCAAACAAUGAAAUUGGGCCGAUCUAGCCCGAAAAACUUCUACAGUCUCGGCCAAGACCGGCCCAGACUUGUAAGGCUGGGCCAGCAUCGGGCUGGCCCAACACCUUACGACCCAGCGGGGGGGGGGAAUUAAUUUUCUUCUCCCCCGCCUCCUGCAUGCAAAACUUUGCAUGCAGGAGGCAACGCCUGCUUCGAAAGCAAAGAGGGAAGAAGAAAAUGUACCUGGCAUGGAGGAGGCGGUCGCUGGUGGUGCUGCGGUGGCGUGGCUCGUGGACGGCGGCUCCGGGCGGCGGUGCUGCGGCUGUUUCCAAGUGCUCGGUUCUCUCUCUCUCUCUCCUCCCUUCUCCCUGUUUCGGUUCUCUCUUUUUUCCUUUUGUUUUCAGUUUAGUUCCAGUAUUCCCUUCUCUCUCUCUCCUGCCUACUGUCUCUUCUCCUCCCUUCUCGGUUUUUUUUUUUUUUUGUUUCCCGGUCCUCUUUUCUCUUCGGUUUUCCUUCCUAUUUAUAGGGGGGGGAAACGGUGCCUUUUGCUAGUGCGUCUUGGGAGUAAAUCACGCAACGGCUGGUCGGCCAUUGACGCGUUCGGUGGUGGUGGUGGGGCGAGGAGAGAGAGGCGGGAAGUUUGAAAAGUUUAGUUUUUUCUUCUGUUGCAGGUUCGGGGGGGGGGGGAGAGGAAGAUGAACAGUGUCGUUCAAAAUGACACCGUUCUGGUCCUUUUUUUUUUAUAUAUAUGAAACGACGUCGUUUUGGAUAAAACGCGUCUUUUUUCACUUUGGUCCUUGGCCUCUGAUUUAUGCAAUUAAGCCCUCAAUUGAUCAAUAAACUUCCAAUUUCUUCAAUUAGACCCCUGAACCGAAUAAUUUCAGCCCCUCCAUUUACGCGCCUCUUCCAAUUUGGUCCCUGGUUUCGGAUUUUCUUAAUUAAGUCCUUAAUUGGCCAUUAAACUUCAAUAUUUAUGCAAUUAAGCCCCUGAUUUGACCCAAUAAAUUCCUAAAAAAUAUAUUUUGGCCCCAGAACUUAAAUUUCUUCUAAUUAAAGCCCAAAUUGACUUAAAAAUUAAUUUUUCUUGCAAUCAAAUCCUUUAUAAACUCAAAUAAAAAUCCAAUUAAGUCCAUAAACAUCCAAAUUUGGGUUUUUCUCCUCAAAAUUCAAAUUUUCCUUCUCAAUAGGGCUUUCUUUCUUCAAGAAUAUACUGUCAAAAAUUCAAUCCUUGUAUUUUUAAAUUCCUUGACCAAUUUCCUGACUGUUUUCCGAGCGCUUCUGCCUCCUGUUAUUUUUCUAACCUCUUUUGGCUAUUUAUUUUAUUUUUCAUGGGGACCCAAAAAUGGGUUACAACACUAUACUUGUUUGAAAUACCAUUAGUGGAUCCUCUAACCUUGACAUUUAUUUUUAUCAUUGUUUAAUCCUUACAUUAAUCUUCCAUCUCAAAGUUCUCAUUAAUUUAUUCCUCUUAUUUUUAUUAUUAUUAUUAUUACUACUACUAAUAUUAUUACUAUUAAUAUUAAUAUUAAUAUUAAUAUUAUUAUUAUUAUUAUUAUUAUUAUUAUUAUUUUUAUAUUCUUGUUAUAUUUUAUGUACGUUAAGUAUGCUCUGUGUUUGAUCAAGGAUCCUGAUAUUGUUGGCCUUGCCUUGUUCAUUCGCAUCAGAAAUCUGUUUAUAUUAUAUAAUAUAUCUCUUUGAUCUUUUCAUAAACUCAGUAUAUAGGCUGGAAACCUGUGACCCGAUCUUUUAGAUCAUUCUCAGGUAUAACAACGCCACGUACUGAAUAUUAUUAUUAUUAUUAUUAUUACUAUUAAUAUUAUUAUUACUAUUACUAUUAUUGUUAUUAUUGUUGUUGUUAUUGUUGUUGUUAUUGUUGUUAUUAUUGUUAUUGUUGUUGUUGUUGUCUUGUUAUUUAUAAUUUAUAUAAUUAACCUCUUUGUGGUUCGACCUCGGUCUUGCCGGGUUAUUUAUUACUGGAAAUCUAAUUUAUGAGCAUGAUAUGGAUGCAAAAAGAGGAAACAAAGACACCUAAAAGUACACAAAAAGUUAUAAUCAGGAGUGUGAUAAAACAGACACUCAAAUGAAGAUUUAUUUUGGAGAACAACAUUAGGCAUGCAAUUAAUAAAAUAUAUCGAUGAUUCAAAAACAUGGAUCCAAAAUCGCAAUGGUGCACUACACCGGGAUGCGAUUAACAAAAUAUAACGAUGAUUCAAAAACAUAGUUCAAAAAUCACAAUGGUGCACUACACUGGCCUAAACUUGUUAGGACAAUUUUGAUAAUAUGUUGAUGACGAUGUUCGACAGUGCCAUUUUGUUCAUGAGUAUGAGGACAGUUUAACCAAUGAUGAAUACCAAUGGACUGAAAGUGAUCCAGAUUGGGAUCUCUUGGCAGACACCUCCUCUCAUUUACCUGCAACAUCAGUGUACUCUAAAGGUGGCGAGUCAGUGAGACUUCGAGAUGAUUCAGUGUCCCGUCAAGCAGAUGUGUCCAUUCCCAAUGUAUUAGACAAACAGGGGGGAGAUAAUAUACCCCUACUACUGGAACCGGUAGUUGGAUCAAACCCAUUUUAGAUCCUCCUUUUACGGAAAAUAGUUAGAGCUGUAGCAGCAGGAAUGGCAACGGGAGCCUCAAGUACAACUUCUAGAUCAAGGGGAGUUGUCACUAUAGUACAAUGGGUGAAGGGUAUGAGAGAGAUGGGUUGUAUGACUUACCAUGGCGAAGAGGAUGUUGAUGUUGCUGGGAAUUCGCUGAGGAAAGUGGAAAGAGUUAUAAAUCAGAUGCAGGUGCUAGAGGAGCUACGAGUGGAUUGCAUGACUCAGCUAUUGGUUGAUAAUUCCCACUCUUGGUAGGAGACCAUUAGAGGGAGGAGAUCAGAGGAGGUAUUGAGAUGGAGGGACUUUUGUGAAGAGUUUGAGGAGAGGUACUAUUCUUGGGAGCAUAAAAGGGAGAAAGAACAUGAGUUUUUGGAUUUGAGGUAGGGAGAUUUGACAGUUCUAGAGUAUGAGAGGAGAUUUCAGGACUUAGCAACUUUUGCCUCCAUUUACCUUCCCACAAAGCGCCACAUGGUAAAGAGGUUCAAUGUUGGAUUGAGGUGGGAACUAAGAACAAUAUUGAUAGCUAUGCAGUUUCAGUCUGUGCGGGAAUUGGUACGGGCUACUCAGGGUAUGGAAAGGGUAAUAAGGGAUACCUCGAAACUAGUGGUUGAUGUAACCAUAUUAUUCGAUAGUUUUACCCGCAUUUAGCUAGUGUUUUGCGUAUGUUAUUUAUAUAAAAUGCCUUGAUAUUCUUUGUUUUAUAUUUUGAAGGCAUUUUUGGAUGAAAGAUGCAAAAAGGAGUAAAUUGGAGAAAAAUAAAAAGAGAAAGAUCAUGGAAAUCACAUCCUUCAAAGUCAAAUCUCGUAGUCUGCCAAUGUUGACCUUUGCCCAUUCAAAAUUCAAUAUCUGGAGCUUCAGAAGUCCAAUUGAUGCAAACUCAAUUUUGUUGGAUUCCUUACUCAAAGCUCUAUAAACGCUCCAAAUAUCAGCCAAUGUCAUAUGAGGGAGAUAGGAGUUUUCAAAGAUGACAGCUGAAUUCUGCCAGCAAGCAGGUUGCGUGAAGAUUCAGAAGCAUCCAAACUGACAUACAAGUGUUUCCAACAAUUUAGCUCCUUUAGUAAAUAUUCUAGAAGGUCAAGGAAGGCAGCCACCAACCUCAAGCCAGUCGCCUUCACACUACCACCAUCUAUUGAUGUUCACACUUGAACUUUGAUUUUCUUAGUUACAAUUUGUGUAUAAAUAGAGGGAGAGUGGAAGGAGGUGGAAGCAAGAAGUGAGGAAACACAAACUCUCCUCUCUACAAAUCAGAAAUUAUGUAUUCUUUCAUCUUUAGGAGUAGUUGUUCAAUAGAUAUGCAAGGCUAAGCUCGUUUUCUUGGUUGCAAAGACACAACAAACCUUCGGAUUUCAAGAACCGUGAGAUUUAUUCUUCCUUUUAUUUUUAGUUUAUGUUAUGAAUGAGUAUGAUUGUUUUCCUAUGCAUAUUUCCUAUGAUUGUUUAUCUUAAUUGCUAGAGCGGACUCUAAGUUAUUAUUGUGAACAAUCUAUUGCUAAGUUUGAUAUCAAAACCGGAGUUGUGGUAUAUAAACUUGCGAAGCAACUAAGCUUGAUAAUUGUAGCGGAACUACGUUAUUAAACUUAGGGAGAACAUUCGAUCAUAGCAACACAAAUUGACAACUUGGUUGUUAAGAUUAAUGAAUUUAUCUGAAUCUUAAGACUGCCAUUGGAUUAAAUCAUUAGUGCGGACACUAUGAUUGUUUGUUGGUUAGGGCUAGUUAUACGGUGGAUCCAUUAAUUAACCAAUAUCAAGAAAAGAUAAAAUUCAUAAUAUAAACUGGAGUUUCGUUUCAAGGAUCGGUUCUAAUUUCUGUUGGUGGAUAUGUGCUUGCAACCAAGGUUUGUUUUCUUGAUAUAUUUCAGUUUCAAUUGAUUUUGUUUGCUAGUUUAAUUUCUGCCAUAGUUUAAAUCAUUGCAAAUCAAACCCCCCCAUUGCAUAACGUAUAACAUAAAAAUCUGAACUAAACCUUCCUCGUGGGAUCGACCCCUUGCUUGCUCUAUACUAUCUUGUGUGUUGUGUUUGAAGCUAGGGUAAUUAAUUUGUACGACCGCGACAUCGCAACAGUGGUCAAGCAGAGUCGGGUAAUUGGAGCUAAGAGAAGAGAUUUUGAGUUUUUGACUGGGAGACCUCCUCUCCCAAAGAAAGAGAAGAGCGGGCAAUCAUCAAGACAAUUCCAGAGAAGAGGCGAGAGUUUCACCCCAAGAGGGAGCUUAGGAGGAUCUAGAUGAGUCAGUGGAAGAGGAUCUUGGGGAGGAUAGUCUAUACAGGAAGUCAAAAUUGUUGGAGGGUCUAUAGAGCAAAAUGGACUAGUAUAUCCAUUUUGUCAGAGGUGUGAGUAGCGACAGCUUGGAGAUUGCUCUGCGAUGCCAGGGAGAUGUUAUAUUUGUAAAGUGAGGGGCAUCGAUGGAAAGAGUGCCCGCAUGUAGGCAGAGGCUGUUACUAUUAUGGGGACAUGAUUCGCAAGAAGAAGGAUUGUCCUCGUAGAACUAUCGAGGGAGCCCAUGGUUAGAGGAUUAAGGUUUAAAGCCAGCAGCAAUUGGUGACAAUUAAUCGUACUAUCAGGCCUACCCAGUCAGGGACGAGUGCUACUUAUGGGAGGCCUAGAAAUCAAGAGGGGAGGACUUAGGGUCGGGUAUAUCACAUGACCUACGAGGAUAUGGGAGAUGUACCUGAUGUGGUGGCAAGUACUUUAUAGUUAGAUACGAUGCAAGUUUAUGCUUUAAUUGAGCCUAGAGCUAGUCAUUCCUUUGUACCUUAUAGAAUUGUGAAUAACUUGCAUGUGUUAUCUAGUAACUUGGGUGUAGGAGUGACGGUUAGUACACCUCUAGGGAGAAAAUACAUAUUGAUGAUAUUUAUAGAGGGGUAAAACUAUAUAUUGAAGGGUUAGAAUUAAAGGUAGAUCUUAUGCCGUUAGAGCUAUAUGAUUUUGAUGUGAUUCUGGGCAUGAAUUAGCUAAGUAAACAUAAGGCACAAGUGGAUUGUUUCACCAAGAUGGUGACAAUCCAAGGAAUAGGUGAUAAAAGAGUAGUGUUUAAAGGGGAAAUAAAAGUAAUUCCAAGUUGUGUAAUCUUUUAGUCUUGGUGGCAACAAAAUUACUGAGGAAGGGUUGUUCUACUUGGUUAGUCCUUGUAAGGGAGCUGGAAAAGGGUAGCAUAGAUUUGGCUAGUAUUUCCAAAAAAGUUGCCUAGAUGGUCCAGUUAGAGAAAUUGAAGUUUUCAUAGAAACUAUCCCAAGAGUUUCUCCUAUAGCCCAGUCUCCUUAUAGGAUGGUGAUUAGUACUUAAAAGUGCAUAUUUAUCAAGGUUUUAUAUCAUCAUUUUGCACUUAAAGUAUCAAUAACUCCUUAACUAAAGCAUGUUUUAUAAUAACAAGUCUAAUACUAUAAAAUGCCUUAAUAUAUGGUAAAUGUUCAUCUUAAAUGCAGGUCUAUCAUAUAAAUCAAAGGAUUGAUUGAUGAGUUCAAGUAUGGAAAUUGAAAGGACAAAGAGAGGGCCAAACUUCAAAAAGAGAUGUUGGUGCAGUCCAAACUGGAACACUAUUCGGUAAUUGGGUCAUAUCUCGAGUUUUAGAUGUCAAAAUGAUCUCAAAUGUUUACACAAAUUCAGUAAGACAUAGGCCUAUAACUUUGAUGUGGACACCAAGAUCUAAGAAGGCUGUUAGCAAGUCCAAAUUAUAGCAACAACGGAGAAGUCUGAAUUUGUCCUGCAGCCCGAACACUAUUCAGUGUUUGGCCCAUAUCUGGAGUUCUAGAAGUCCAAAUGACCUCCAUUUUUUUUUUCUGGAAAGCUAUGUCAAUUGCCUACAACUUUAAUGUUUUUAAGUGGUCCCAUUUCUGAUGCUAGCAAUUUCGUUUUAUUCAGACAAGAAGAUAAGGAUUUUCACAAAGUCAAGAGUUGGCCACCCACUCAAUAAUUAGUCAUCAAAUCAAUAAUUCCGAAUUUUGGCCUAUAAAAAGAUGCAUUUGCCAUGUAUUUUAGGGCUUGGUGGUUCGGAUCAAGAUCAUGCUCUUUAUUUCUCUCUUUAUAUUUUUUUUUGUAAUUCUUAAGUUUUGCUCUCAUUAAUAUCUUAUUUAUGCUUUUCAUUUCUUUUCCUUUCCUUAAUUAACUGGUAUCUUAUUUAUGUUCUUGUUUUGUUUAUUUAUGUUUCUCUUCUUUAUUAUGUUUAGCUAAGUUUAUUAUGUCAAGGUGAAAAGGUUACACUAAUGGUGUAAGAAUAAGUAUAGUGUAAAGUCAACAUGGACCUUAAUGUUUAAUAUUAACAUAUCUUAUCUUUUUAUCUUACUAAUUCUUAAUACAUUGCUUGUUAAAUGGUUAAUCUAGAUUGUGUUGUAUAACACUUGGUACAACAAAUGCUUGGCACUCUCAUAGCCCAACCGUAUGGUAUUACCUACACCUGUGCUAUGAAAGGAACUUGAUUUGUUGUUAACAUAAGUAAGCAUCAUGAAUUCCUGAAAAUAUUUAAAAGUUUGGUGUUACGUAAAUAAGAUAAUUAAUAUGAUCAUGUUAACAAUUUAUAAUGAGCUAUUAAUAACAAAUCAUCUUAUUGGAACCUCCUUCGUGUGUGGUUUCCAAAUUGAGUAAUAAGAGUUUAUAUUGUACUUGUUUGAAAUACCAUUAGUGGAUCUUUUAACCUUGACAUGUGUUUUUAUUAUUGUUUAAUUCUUACAAUAAUCUUUCAUCUCAAAGUUCUCAUUAAUUUCUUCCUCUUCUUUUAUUAUUACUACUACUACUACUACUACUAUUAUUAUUUACAUUCUUGUUAUAUUUUAUGUAUGUUAAGUAUUCUCUGUGUUUGAUCAAGGAUCCUGACAUGGUUGGUCUUGCCUUGUUCAUUCACAUCAGAAAUCUAUUUAUAUUAUAUAAUAUAUCUCUUUGAUCUUUUCAUAAACUCAGUAUAUAGGCUGGAAACCUGUAACCCGAUCUUUUAAAUAUUCUCAGGUAUAACAACGCCACGUACUGAGUAUUAUUAUUAUUAUUACUAUUAAUAUUAUUAUUACUAUUACUAUUAUUGUUAUUAUUGUUGUUGUUGUUGUUGUAUUGUUAUUUAUAAUUUAUACAAUUAACCUCUCUUUGGUUCGACCCCAGUUUUGCCGGGUUAUUUAUUACUUCGACACUCCUACACUUAGGAGAAGACAUUAAUCUUUUGGUCGUGUCAGAUGGCACCUAUGGAAUUGGCAAACUGAAGGUCCAGCUUCAAGAAUUGUUAGAUAAAGGCUUCAUCCAACCUAGUAACUCGCCCUAGGGAGCUUCGGUGUUGUUUGUAAAGAAGAAGGAUGGCACCUUUCGUUUGUGCAUUGAUUAUCGUCAAUUGAAUAAAAUGACGGUGAAGAACAGGUACCCACUCCUAUGAAUAGAUGACUUGUUUGAUCAAUUGAAGGGUGCUAGGGUGUUCUCUGAGAUAAAUUUGAGAUCUAGAUACCACCAGUUAAGAAUCAAAGAGCAAGGCAUACAAAGAUUGCAUUUCAAACCUGUUAUGGGCAUUACGAAUUUUUGGUGAUGCCUUUCGAGUUAACCAAUGCUCCUGUAACAACCCUAAUUUUUCUAUUAGUUUAUUCAUUAAUCUCUCCCCCUAUAAAGGGUAGAUGAAGCAAAAUUUUAUUUUUAUUUUUUACUCGCCGAAAUUUCUAAUGAAAUUUCGGCAGAGUCUCCUCUAUACCGAGAGAUCCCAAGUUAUCGACAAUGUACCUGCACACAUUUAGAAUCACAUCUCAUCCACAAUCACAUUCAUGUUUAGUACAAUCAACUGCAUAACUCAUUCUAGAUUAUGCUCAGGACCAUAUUCAUUCCCAAACUCCAUCUUACAUCACAUACACAAGUUAAUAAUUAAAAGAGCCAAUUUCAACACGAAAUUUCAUAUACAUAUAUAUAUACACAACACAGUUUAAUAUUCUAACAUAGUCUAGUACAUUCUAAUAUCCCAAGCAUAGGUUGGUACAUUUAAUAUUUCAGAAACAAAAUAUUAUGAAUAGAAUAUUCCAUAUAGGUUACAUGUUUACUGCAUGACAAAAUUACACCACUAAUUCCUAAGUUCCUAACUUAUACAAAAAGGGAUCAAAGGACUUUAAAUCUAUUCCUAACGUGAAUGGGAGGGACCUGCAAAAAUAUAAAUUUUCCAUAUAAUAAAAAACAAAUGAUUAAAAUACAAGGAAUUUACAGAAUAAAAUUAAACAACAUAUAUAUCUACUUAAAUCAUAUAAAAUUCUAAAUACAACCACAAACCCCUUUUAAUGGUUAUAUAAGAAUUAUUUAUUCUUCUUCUUUUUCUUCUUUUCCUGUUAACUACUUCUUCCCCCCCCCUUCAUCAAAAAGACUAUUGCUGACACCAAUGACCUCCAUUAGUGUCUUUAGUUGCCCGUCCUGGAACAACUAAUUAGUUUCAUGAAAAUGCCGACACAAAUGUAAACGUUUGUGUCAUUAACUAUUUUUAAAACUAAAAUAGUUAAUCAUUGUUCCAUAUUACCUUGGGAGGUUCUCAGGUAUGCCGAUGUCAAAAUUCUUGACAUCAUUAGCUUCCACCUCGAAAAGCUAAUCAAGUUUAUAAAUUUUGCCGAUAUCAACGUCACGUGCCGAUAUCAUUAACUAUUCUGAAACCGAAUAGUUAAUCAAGUUUAUAAGUUUUGCCGAUAUCGACGUCACGUGCCGAUAUCAUUAACUAUUCUGAAACCGAAUAGUUAAUCAAGUUUAUAACUUUUUGCCGAUAUCGACGUCACGUGCCGAUAUCAUUAACUAUUCUGAAACCGAAUAGUUAAUCAAGUUUAUAUUUUUCCUCUCACGUACCAGUAAUGCCGAUGUUAUCCAGCUUGGUUAACAUCAUUAGCCUCCCAUAUCAGGGACAAACAAAUCAAAUUCGAGAAAUAAUCAUUACCAAAAUUCCUUGUUACGAUCUAUUUCCUCCAAAAGAACCCAUAAAUUAAAUCUAGUUCUCCGUUCCAUUUUAUUUUUCAUCAUUUAACCUUUCCUUUCCCUUUUUUUUUUCCUCAUCAAUAAGCACCAAAGUUUUAUAGUUCAAAAGUUAGUUAAAAUAAUUAUUAACUAGAGGAGAUAUAGGUACCAAGUACCUACCUGUUGUGGACGCUCGACUUGCGUUCCCCUGUGGUUGUUGUACUCCUCUUGCGGUUCCUCCUGAAACCACAAACACCCAUCAUUAUUCCAUAUUAAUCCACAUAUCACAUGCAACAUCAACAUUGAAAAUAAUAUUCAUUUCUCUUUUACCAAAUCUUUUCUUUCUCAUCACUUACAUUCCCCAUUAUUAUCCUUUAACUUUUCAGCUCAUUAGUAGUCCAAGUGGACAUCAUAAAUUCAAUUUUUGAUUACAGUUUAUUCUUUUUGAAGAUCAAGACACACUUUAUGAAAGGCAAGAAAACAAAUUCUACCCUUGAUAUGGCUAAAUUUCACGUUUUAUCAACUUGGCCGAAUCUGCCAACAGGGUGGCAGCUCGACCUCUCAGUUUUUAUUUGUAUCUGGAGUUCUAGGACUCCAAAUUAGGCGAGGUCAGAUUCGUUGGAAAGCUAACACUCCUAGAUACACUUAUAUGAGGGGAACCUCCCUGAAUUUUGUAGUUUUUAGGUCCAAAAUCCCCCCAGGAAACAGGGCAACGAACCUGCCCUGUUUUGCUAAUGGAGAAGGUAUCUCCAAUUCAUCUUAAAUCCCUGCUUCCUCAUCAGUCACAGCCAUGCCUUCCCUUUAUUCAUGGCAUUCCCGUCUCAUUUUAUGUCCUCUUAAGGUCACUGGUACCAAAUUAAUAAAUUAAGCACACCAUAAGUUCUCAUUCCCUCUGCAGUAUCCAGCAGAGAAUGUGGCCAAGGGAACCAAGAGUUCCCGAUGAUGAUUUCUGUCAAAUGGAGGGUUCCUUCCAAUCCCACCGGUCAUUAGUAGAUAAGUGUAAUAAGAACAACAUAUCCAAAACUUAUCAUGAUCCAACGGUGGAGUCCGGAGAUAUGGCCACUGGAGUAUUAUUGGUUUUACUCCAAAAUCUGCAGCUCUUUCUAUCCAUUUUUCUCUUCAUCUUUUUCUUUAAGGCACUUAGAUUAAUCUAAUCCAUUUAACCUCACUCAUUUCUGCAUUUUCCCAACAUUUUAUGUUAAAGAACCCUAAUUCCCAAUUCAAGAAAGGCAUAAACUUCUAAUCAAAUUGAAGUUGAUUUCAUAGAAAUUGGAAUUAGAACUCCUUGGAUGGAAAUCUAAACUUUACUUCACAAAUUUUAGAAGAAUCUUAGCCUUCUUCUCCUUGUAUGUUGUCAGCCACUUUUCCCCCUCUUCUCUUCACAAUUCUUCACUUUUCUUCUUGUUAAUUCUUCCACUCGAUUGUGUUCCUCCACUUAAUAAUUCCAAGGCUUAUUUGGGUUUACUAAUGUUAGGUGUUUACUCCAAGUUAUGAUGAAAGAAAAAUCUAAAAUUCUCCCCCCUCCUUAUUCUUAUUAUCAGCGGGCCAUGGAUGAGAGAAGGGAAGGGUAUUUAUAGUCCCAUCUCUUUUUAAUUCCAUUUUGGCCACAUCUUUCACCUUUUUGUUUUUUUUUCAGUAUUAUUUUAUUAUUAUUAUUUUUGCUUUAUUUUAUAUUAUAACAAUUUGGAAUUAUUAUAAACCUCCCCCUCUUUGUAUACUUUAUUCUCGAGCUUCACAGCUCCGACUAUGCUUAUGGACUUGAUGAAUUGGGUGUUUCGGCCUUACCUGGACCAAUAUGUGGUUGUAUUUAUUGAUGAUAUCUUAGUGUAUUCAAACUCUCACUUGGAGCAUGAACAACUUCUAAGGGUUGUGCUACAGACCUUAAGGGAGAAACAAUUAUAUGCAAAGUUGGAUAAGUGUGAGUUUUGGCUCCAGGAAGUGGUAUUUUUGGGCCAUGUAAUAUCCACAGAAAGAAUACUUGUGGUCCAAAAAAGGUUGAGGCCGUGUUAUAAUGGGAAAGGCCUAUCAAUGUGACAGAAAUCCAGAGCUUCUUGGGCCUUGCUGGAUAUUACCGCAAGUUUAUUGAGGGGUUCUCCACCAUAACAUCACCUUUAACUAAGCUGACCCGUAAGGAGGUCAAGUCUGUUUGGUCAAAAGACUGUGAAGCAAGCUUUAGAGAACUAAAGGAGAGGCUUACUUCUACUCAUGUGAUGGCCCUCCCAUCGGGGACAAAAGGCUUUGUGGUAUAUAGUGAUGCCUCAAAAAAGGGUCUGGGAUGUGUAUUGAUGCAACACGGGCAUGUGAUUGCUUAUGCAUCAAGACAGCUAUAGUCGCAUGAGGUGAAUUACCCGAUUCAUGACCUAGAACUUAUAGCGGUGGUGUUUGUCUUAAGAGUAUGGAGACAUUAUUUUUAUAGGACACAAGUUCAAAUCUUUACAUACCAUAAAAGUUUGAAGUAUUUGAUGUCACAGAAGGAGUUGAACAUGCGGCAGAGAAGAUGGGUAGAGUUAAUAAAAAUAUUACGAUUGCGUUAUUGACUACCAUCCUGUUAAGGCUAAUAUAGUAGUUGAUGCCUUGAGUAGGAAGGGAAAAAUAGUGAUGAAUGAUAUGGAGCUUAAAGAAUAGGAAAGUAUAGUGGAAUUAAAGAGAAUGGGCUUGCAGCUAAGUUUAGGGCCCGAGGGAUCACUAUUACCUCAGUUAAAGAUUCGAUUUGUGCUUUGAGACAAGGUCUUGGUGGUCAACAGGCAGAUGGAAAAGUAAAAGAGAUCAAGGAGAGGGUAAACAAGGGUAAAGAGACAUCAUUUCAAAUGUUAUCAGAUGGGCUAAUAGCUAUGGGUAGGCGGAUUUAUUUGCUUGAGGAUAAGACUUUGAAAGAUGAAGUGUUAAGAGAAGCUCAUAAAUCUCGAUUUUCUACUCAUCCUGGGAGUAAAAGGAUGUAUAGGGAUUUAAAGGAAUACUACUGGUGGCCAAAUAUGAAGAGGGAAAUAACAAAAUUUGUGUCGAACUGUGGGAUCUGUCAACAAGUAAAGAUAGAACACUAGAAACCUGCAGGGGAAUUACAAUCAUUAUCAAUUCCAAAAUGGAAAUGGGAGAAUAUUUCUAUGGAUUUUAUGAUGGGAUUACCCAAGGGAGUGAGGGGGAAUGAUGCCAUAUGGGUGUUCGUGGAUCGACUAACAAAAUCAGCUUUAUUUUUUUCUAUGAAGAUGAUUGAGUUGGUAAAUAAGCUGGCAAAAUUGUAUGUAAAUGAAGUAAUCAGACUUCAUGGAAUGCCAGUUUCAAUUAUAACAGAUCGGGAUCCAAGGUUCACAUCGCGAUUGUGGCCGAGCUUGCAACAGGAAAUAGGGGGCAUAGUUGUAUAUGAGCAAAACAUUUCAUCCCAGAUGAAUGGUCAAUCUAAAAGGACCAUUCAAACUCUUGAGGAUCUCCUGAGGUCCUGUGUGCUGAAUUUUAGAGGGAAUUGGGAGAAUCUCGUACCAUUGGUGGAGUUUACUUAUAAUAAUAGCCAUCAAGCUACUAUUGGUAUGGUUCCAUAUGAAGCCUUGUAUGGGAGGAAAUGUCGUACCCUAAUUUGUUGGGAGGAAAUAGGAGAAAGGAAGCUUUUGGGACCUGAAAUGGUGCAACUCACAACUAACAAGGUAAGGGUGAUCAAAAAGAUGAUGAAGGAAGCCUAGGAUAGACAAAAACAUUACGCAGAUAGUCGAAGAAGGCCCUUGGAAUUCUAAGUGCAGGAUAAAGUAGUUUUGAAGGUGGCUCCUUCGAAAGGCAUCAUUCGAUUUGGAGUAAAAGGGAAAUUAGCCCCGAGAUAUAUUGGCCCUUUAGAAUUGCCUAUAUAUUUGGACAAGAUUCACAAUGUGUUCCAUUUUUCAUUGCUAUGAAAGGCCAAGAUAGACCCCUCACGGAUAUUGCCACAGGCUCCUAUGAAGAUAAAAGGGGAUCUAACCAUGAAAACUAAGCCUGUCAAGAUCUUAGAUCAAGAUGAGAAGUUGUUGAGAAAUAAGAGAGUUCCCUUGGUGAGAGUAUUAUGGAGAAGCUCUUGAAUAGAAGAAGAAACAUGGGAAAAAGAAUCCAAGAUGAAGGAGAAGUUUCCGCACUUAUUCUCCGACAUGGUAUGUAACUGGAAUUUCGAGGAUGAAAUUUUUUUUAUUAGGAAGGGAGAAUGUAAAUCCCAAGAAAAUCAAGGCUAGAUUAAAUUACAGAAAAUAAACUAAACUAAAAAGAAGUGGGGGCAAAACAAAUACACUUAAAGAAAAUGGGGUCUAAAUGCAAAUAAGAAUAUUUAUAGAGCAUAAAUACUCUUCUUUCAAAAAAAAAACAAAAAAACAAAUAAAUCUGAAACUAUCGUGAAGAAAGAAAAUGGGGAGUUUUUGUAUCCAUUUUUAUAGAUCAAGAGAGAAAUACAAAAAUUUCAAGAACCCAUCCAAGAUUAAGGGUUAUAGGUAGAAUAAACACUAGAGGGCAAGCGAUUAACAAGAAAAAAAUUGAACAAGAAAACAAGAGGGGAGGGUCAACUGUCAUUAAAAAGAAAAGGAGGGAUCGAGACCUUGAUUCGUACCGGGUAAGGUAUUCUAAACAUAGAUUUAUGAGUCAUUUUAAAGUCGAAUAUAUAUUGAUGCCUGGAUGUUAAAUUAUAGAUUUGAUUUCUAUAACUCUAGAUAUGGUUAAAAAUCUAAGGAGAGGUCAGACAGUAACAGUUCAAAAAACGAGACAGUAACAGUCCAAAUGAUUAUUGAUGAGCAAUUUUGAUUAUCUUAGAGGUAGAACUGGGUUCUUCUUUCCUCAGAGAACUUGUAGGCUCAUGUCUUAGCUUUCCAACGAGACUAAUCUUGCUUGAAUCGAAGUUUUAUAACUCCAAAUAUAGUUAAAAAUGUGAGAGAGGUCAAACGGUAACAGUUCAAAAAAUGAGACAAUAACAGUUCAAAUGAUUAUUGAUGAGCGAUUUUGACUGUCUUAGAGGAAGAACUAGGUUCUUCUUUCCUAAAGAACUUGUAGCCUCAUGUCUUAGCUUUCAAACAAGACUGAUCUCGCUUGAAUCAAAGUUCUAUAACUCCAAAUAUAGUUAAAAAUCCGAGGAGAUGUCAAAUAGUAACAGUUCAAAAAACGAGAUAGUAACAGUUCAAAUGAUUAUUGAUAAACAAUUUUGACUAUCUUAGAGGCAGAACUGGGUUCUUCUUUCCGUAAAGAACUUGUAGCCUUAUGUCUUAGCUUUCCAACGAGACUAAUCUCACUUUAAUCAAAGUUCUAUAACUCCAGAUAUAGUUAAAAAUCUAAGGAGAGGUCAGACAGUAAUAAUUCAAUGUCUAGACAAUGACAGUUCAGGAUUUAAACAGAAACAGUUCAAAUAUAAAAAAAAGAAUGAUAAUUGGGGUUGGACAAAGAAUGACAAUAUUAAUGGGUGAAAUGAGAAAAACAUAAAAUAUUAAGAAAUGACUGAAAGAAAGAGUUAUUGGUUUGAUAUGGUUAUUAUAAAACAUAUCCUUGAGUGAGGAAAAUUUAUGAGAUUGAACCUGUGAUUUGCAGGAUAGACCACAGAUGUGGUGCAUAUGCAGCAACAAGGGAGCACGAGUAGAGCUUUUAUUGCAGGUAGGUGAAUCGCACCUAUACCUUCUAGUUAAAUUCCAUGAUUAAUAUAUAUUACUGAUGUGAAAUGUGAAUUACUGAAUGUAUGUGUAUUCAAGGGGAAAGGUUGUUGUGUGAAUUGCUAAGUGAUGAAAUUAUCAUUGAGAAAGGAAAAAUGAGAAGUGUGAUUUGAGGCAUAAACUAGCAUACAUUUAGUGUAAGUUAGGAUUUCAGGUAAGGGGAUCGCCACGUUUGGACUAACAUACAUUUAGUGUAUGUUAGAAUCCCAGGUAAGGGGAUCACCAUGUUUUGGCUAGCAUACAUUUAGUGUAUGUUAUGAUCCCGGGUAAGGGAUCACCAUGUAUUGGCUAGCAUACAUUUAGUAUAUGUUAGGAUCCCGGGUAAGGGGAUCACCUUGCAUCGACUCCUACGGGGUGAUGAUGAUGAUACUAGUGAAAUUUGUAUCAGUAAUGUGUUAAACAAAAAUAAUCAUGUUUGAUCUUAUAAAGUCUAGAAUGGAGAUUAAUAGUGGAAGAUGGAACGGUUAUUAAUAUUUGAAUAAGGAAGAGAUUCUAAUGUAAACCAGAAGGGAGAAGUGAACAAAAUAUGAAUGCAUGUUACCCUGAUAAAAUUGUUAGAUAUUCGAGUUGUUAUAAUUAUGUGAUAUUCACCUUUCAAUAAUAUGUAUUUUAUUUUAGGAUCAUCGCAUGCACGACAGGAAUAGAUCAUAGAUUAUGUUCGUUUCUUGUAAUUUAGAUUCUAGGGGGUAUACCCAUGUAUUUUGUAAACAUUAAAAUGUUUGUAUAACUUAAUUUGUAUAAUUAAUGUUUAAACUUGAUUGAAUGAACUUAAUUCAGUAGUUCAUAUAACCAUAUUUCAUGACUAUGCAUUCAUAUUUUCUUGUUUAUCCAUCCAUAAUGAUAUUUUGUUAUACAAUGUAUAUCAUAAACAUUGUGGUUGAUAGGUGUGAGAUUAUUUGUGGAAAUUGAAAAUCCAGGAUGAUUGGGUCGGAAUUAAGUUAUGACAUCUGAGUUAUUAGAAGUGUGAACAGGUUACAUGUCGAUAACUUGGGACCUUUCGGCAUAUGGGGGACUCCGUCAAAAUUUUUAGUAGAUUUUAAUACGAAAACCAUGAAUAUAUAUAUAUAUAUAUAACUCUGUUUUUCGGUUGACAUGAGAUUUUUGUUUUAUCCCGGAAUGGGGGAUGUUACAAUAGAGAAGCAAAGAAGAAGAAGAAGAAGAAACGUCGGUCAGCUGCUCUCAGUUCCCUAGUUCGCAGCCGCCGCCACAAGCCACUGUCAGCCUAGCUCCCAGAGCACCUCCAUUCCAGGUAAUUCUCUCCCCGUGUCUCUGUUUCCCAUAUUCAUCUUCUUGCAUGCAAAACGUGCACUGUGCACAUUUCUGCAAGCAAGGAAAAAUAAUUGCCCAUAGUAACCGGCUAAUUAUAUGGGCAUAGUAACCAGUCCGGGUUGGAUCAUCAGCCCAGUCCACGCGGCUGGGCUGAGUCCAACCCAUUAUAAGAUAGUUUAUAUUUUAUUUUGGGCUGAUCUUGGUAUAGUUUUAUUUUGGGUCGGGUCCGGCCUAUUCAAAAAACAAUUAAAACAUAUUUAAAAAAAAAAAUUGUGAUUCCCCGCGUAAAUUUUUACGCAAUUUUGAUUAACAUUGGUAUGUAUUUUUAUACCGUAAUGAUACAAAUCGGGUAUUAAAAUACCCAGUCUUCAUAAAAAAAAAAUGUUUUCAUGCGUACAACCAGGUCUCUAAAAGUUAAAAAAAAAUUCAUAUUGUAUUUUCAUACAACAAAGAAAACUUCAAAAAAUAUGUUUUAGCAUACAUUUUGGCUUUAAUAACUAGAUUAUUAAAGUCAUGAGAACUAGGCCAAUAUUUCAAAAAACUCAAAAAAGUAUUUUGUUUUGUUUUAGUAUCUAGGAUUAUGAAUUUACAUGUAAAACAUAUUCCUAAUAUUCAAAAGGUAUUUUCUUUUGUUGACAUAGAACGGUUAGGUUUUAUCUCGAUUUGAUAAGGAUCUUUUUACCGAGAAAAAAAGGACUUUUCUUAAACCAUAGAUAGACCAACAAUUAGAACUACAAUACAACCGUACCAUAUAUCAAACAAUAAAACAAUGUAGCUUACCUUAGGUAGGGCAUAUUUAGGGUGUGAAUACCUUCCCUUUACGCAACCAGUCCCCGUACCCAAUCUCUGAGACCAGUUAGGGUUCCUAGUGACCAAAAUACUAGGUGGCGACUCCCAUUCUAUUUUUCCACUGAUAAGAGACAAGCAUUCCUUGUCUUUCUACAUUUGCCAGACAGAUAAAAUACCUAAGUGAGGGUGGAUGAUUGCCAUGAUGCCGCACAUAUGCAACACUAUUAAUUAAUCAAUGAGAUCCAUUUUGAAAAGAAAAAAAGAAUACACAAGUGAGAGAAUAAAAUCCACAACCCACAAAAAAUAAUAAAAUUAUCUUCACCUAGUAUUUCUCUCUCCUAUUUGGAUCUAUUUAUUUCUAUAAAGUGGAUCCCAAUAAGUAACUAAUAGAAUAUCACUAGUUAUAAUUUGAUCACCAUACAAUUUCUCAUUCAAUUCCUCUCAUUUUAGAAGGAAAUAACGGUAAACAAAUACUUUGCAAAAUUCCUAAAAUGUUUAUGUUAUUAUUAAUAAAAUUAAAUGUAAGCUAAUCAAUUCAAUAUUGAAAAUAUAUGUAUCUCAUUAAGAAAAAUAUAUUUAAUUCCAGAAAAUAUUUGGAAGGAAUUAGUAUUAAAAAAACAAACACUUGGCAUUUCAAAUUCCUCACCCUAAAAAUCUUGAAAAUAUCUAUAACAAGUAGUGGAUAUCACCAUUCCCUUUGAAUUCUUAUGCUUAUUCUCUUUCUUUCUCAAAUCUUAGUAGCCUAUCUCUCACUCUCUAUAGUUGGGUAGCACUUUGCACAAUUUUAUUCGAUUUCAUUAUUGAAAAUGUCGUAGCAAUGAUGGCUUUGUUGGGCUUAGAGAGCGUUUGAAAACGCGGUUGUACCCGUGUUUCUAAAAAAUUUAAAUUUUGUUUUGCUAAAAGUUAAUUUCUUUAACGUUUUAAAUCGUUUUGAUGCACUGAUCUCAAAAAUGAUUUUAAAAAAAUGAAAAAACAUCAUUUUGAUGCAUUUUGUCAUGAAAAGCACUUUGAAAAGCAACCACGACCACACUUCCAAACAGGCCUAGCUGGGAGCCCAUGGUUAUUUGGUGGUGCAUCUUUAUUAUACAAUGUAUGGCAUGUAUAUAUAUGUAUAAGAAUUAAUGUAGGGUUAUUCCAAUGUUGUUAUCCUUACGGUUACUGCCGUAUACUGCCACAUAUAUAUAAAUAAGAAAGGUUGGCUAAGACACAACCUAAGUCAUUAUAUUAUUCUGAACUUGGUAUAAGAGCCCUAACUAAGCUAAAACACCUAUUCUCCCCUUUGCAAUGGACUCCUCAUCCUAGCCACAUGUUACCUCUCCUAUCGUAGCAGCACUGUCUUCCUCAGCUUCUGUUUUGCAGUGGGCACAACUCAUAAAUGGUGUUCAUGCUCUCUUCAACCCCAACAAUGCUCUUUUGUUGCAACCCUCUUCUGAUGCGAUCUUUGCUACUACAAUUGUCUCCCUCUCCCACACUUACCAAGUCAUCUCUCUCAAAUUAACAAACACCAAUUAUCUAUAUUAGCGAAUGUAGAUGAAGUUGUAUAUUCUAGGCCAAGGAGUUUUCGGCUUUAUUGAUGGUUCUUACUCUUACCCCUCUCUACAUGUUCUUGCUACCAAUGGUGUCUCUCUUCAGGUAAACCAGCUCUUUCUUCAUUGAAAACAAUAGGACCAACUCAUUCUGAGUGCUCUAAUUUCUUUGCUAUCCAUGGAAGUUCUUCAUGUUGUUGAUGACUUCCAAUCCUUACAUUCUAUCUAGCGCACACUUAAGCAAGCUCUAGCUUUCACAUCCAAUUCUCAUAUUAUGCAACUUCAUGGCUCCCUUCAAGACCUUUGAUAAGGUGAUGAGUCGGUAACUCACUUUAUGCAAAAAUCUAAGGCCUUAUUUGAUGAGUGAGCCAAUGUUGGUUGGCCUGUUUCGCUAGAGAAUUUAACUUAUAUGUGUUUUGUGGUCUUCACGGAGAGUUUAAAUUCUUAGUAACAAGCCUUGUGACCAAGUCAAAACCUCUCUCGCAUGCAGAUCUAUUUAGUCAUCUUUUAACACGUAAAUUUAUUCACAAAUCAUUCCAUAUGUCCAUGGGGUCUGCUGCCAUCAAUGCUCCUCUAUUGCCCAUGCCAAACACACCUCCUUCAACCCUUAUCUAUCAACAUCAGUCUAUUGCACACUUUGGUCGCAAUAAGGGUUGUUUUCAUGAAUCUUGGCGUCUAAACCACUUCAGCCACAAAGGGCACAGUUCUACAACGUCCAGACCAAACUUUCGCAGCUUCCACAACUCCUCUACCAAUGAUGGCAGACAAGGCAACUAGCAUGGAAAUUUGCAGCACAGUAAAGGGCAAAAUCCAUGCUGCUAAUUAUGCCAAACAUUAGGUCAUACUGGGCCUCACUACCCUCAGCUUCAGUACCAUGGCUAUGGACAGCAACUUAGUGCAAAUAUAGCGUUGCGUAAUCCCAUAAGUACUACAAAAUGGUUUCUGAAAACUGGUGCCAAUAACCACAUCACACCCAACCUUGCAACCUUGACUACUGACACGACCAAAAGCUUGAUGUCUUUUUCCAAGUGCAGGAGUGUCGAAGUAAUAAAUAACCCGGCAAGACCGGGGUCGAACCACAGAGAGGUGAAUUGUAUAAAUUAUAAAUAACAAUACAACAACAACAACAACAACAACAACAACAAUAACAAUAAUAAUAAUUAUAAUACUCAGUACGUGGCGUUGUUAUACCUGAGAAUGAUCUAAAAGAUCGGGUCACAGGUUUCCAGCCUAUAUACUGAAUUUAUGAAAAGAUCAAAGAUAUAUAUAUUAUAUAAUAUAAACAGAAUGUAAAUAAUAAUAAUAAUAAUAAUAAUAAUAAUGAAAGCAGAAGAUGAAGAAAUUAAUGAGAACUUUGAGAUGAAAGAUUAACGUAAGGAUUAAACAAUGAUAAAAACAAAUGUCAAGGUUAGAGGAUCCACUAAUGGUACUUCAAACAAGUAUAGUAUAAACUCUUAUUACUCAAUUGGAAACCACACAUAAAGGAGGUUCCAAUCAGAUUAUAAAUUGUUAACAUGAUUACAUUAGUUAUCUUAUUCGAAUAAAGCUAAUACUUGUAAAUGUUGGCAGGCAUUCAUGAUUAUAACUUAUGUUAACAACAAAUCAAGUUCCUUUCAUAGCUCAGGUGUCGGUUAUACCAUACAGUAUGGGCUAUGAAAGUGCCAAGUAUUUGUUGUACCAAGUGUUAUACAACAUAAAUCUAGAUUAACCAUUUAACAAGCAAAGUAUUAAAAGUGAACAAGAUAACAAAUAUAAAACAUGUUAGUAUCCAACGUUAAGGUCCAUGUUAAGUUUAUAUUAUACUUAUUCUUACACCAUUAGUGUACCCUUUUCACCUUGACAUAAUUAACUUAGCUAGACAUAAUGAAAGAAAGAAACAUAAAUGAACAAGAUAAGAACAUAAAUGAGAAAGAGGUUAACUAAGUAAAGGAAAGGAAAUGAAGUGCAUAAACUUGAUAUUAAUGAAAGCAAGACAUAAGCAAUACAAAGAGAGAAAGCAAGAGCAUGAUCUUGAUCUGAAACCAAGAUGCCUCAAUACAUGGUAAGUGCCUCCUUUUAUAGGCCAAAAUUUGGAACUAUUGAUUUGUUGACUAAUUGAUGAGUGGGUGGCCACAUCUUGACUUGAUAACAAUCCUUAUCUUCUUGUCUGAACAAGACGUCAUUGCUAACAUCAUAAUUUGCCCAGAAUCCUCAGGAAUGUUCUAGGAAAUUGUCUCAGCUUUCCAACAAAAAAAAGAUGAGGUCAUUUGGACUUCUAGAACUCAAGAUAUGGGCUGAACACUAAAUAGUGUUUGGGCUGCAGGACAGCUUCGGACUUCUUCGUUGUUCCUUCAAUUUGGACUUCAAAAUGACCUUUUUAAAUCUUGGGCUCCUCAUGAAACUUGUAGGCCUUUGUCUUACCUUUCCAUCCAUAUAAAAUGGACCUAAAUCCGAGACAUAGAGCUCCAGAUAUGAUCCAAUUACCGAGCAAUGUUCCGGUUUGGACUGCACCGACAUCUCUUUUCUAAGUUUGGCCAUCUCUUUGUCUUUAACUUUCAAUACUUAAACUCAUCAAUCAAUCCUUUUAUUUAUGUGAUAGUCCUGCAUUUAAAAUGAGCAUUUACCAUAAAUUAAGGUAUCUUAUAAUAUCAAACUUGUUAUUAUAAAACAUGCUUUAGUUAAGGAGUUAUUGAUACUUUAAGUGCAAAAUGAUGAUAUAAAACCUUGAUAAACAUGCACUUUUAAGUACUAAUCGACUACUUCAUAACCAUACCUUGGUAAUGAUAAUUUGCAUGUUGAUGAUGGUAAGGGACUUCCCACAUCUCAUAUCGGUCAUACCAAAAUAUAGACACCACAUCGUUCUUUCACUUUAUCUAAAUUUCUUCAUGUUACUGCAAUCACGAAACAUUUGCUUUCUAUUUAGAAAUUUUAUCUCGAUAACAAUGUUUAUUUUGAAUUUCAUCCAUUUGUGUUUUAUGCCAAGGAUCUCAACACCAAUGGAGUACUCCUCUCAUGUUAGAGUAAAGAUGAUCUCUAUGCUUUGUCCAGGUCUUCCGUCUCGUUAGUUCCUCAAGCAUAUUGGUCUCCCUGUAUUUAUGCUUUUGCUGAUUUAUGGCAUUGUCGACUAGGUCAUCCUCCUCUUGUAUUUUUCAAUUGUUAGUCUUGAAAAAUAAGAUCAUUUGUAACAAUAAACAUCUUAAUUUUCAAUGUCAAAGUUGUCCAUCAGGAAAAUCAUCGGAUUUGUCUUUAGUGAUGUGCGGGGUCCUACUCCCCUUUUUUCUUUGGAUGGCUAUCUUUAUUUUGUUAUCUUUGUUGAUGUUAUAUGUGAUGAGAUCAAGGUGUUGCGUUCUAAUCACACUUGGUCUCUGGUUCCCUUUCAUCUUUCGAUGAAUGUUGUUGGCAACAUAUGAAUGUAUCGGAUCAAACAUCGUGUUGAUGGCAGCAUUGAGCGUUAGAAAGCCCGUCUAGUUGCUAGAGGCUUUACCCAGCACAAAGGAAUUGAUUAUUCUGAAACCUACAAUCCAGUUAUUAAACAGACCACCAUCAGAUUAAUCUUCUUCAUUGCGGUUUCACGCAAUUGGAAAAUUCAUCAGCUCAAUAUUCAUAAUGCAUUUCUCAAUGGUGCUCUUACUAAAGAGGUCUACAUGAAACAACCUCUAGGUUUUGUUGACUCUACUCUUCCAUCUCAUAUGUGCAGAUUGCACAAGUCGUUGUAUGGUUUAAAACAGGUAUCGAGGGUAUGGUACACUCGUCUGAGUGACUUUUUGCUCUCCAUUGGUUUUAUUGCCUCCAAGAUUGAAAACUCCUUAUUUAUCUUAUCUGAUGAUACUAAUAUCUUUUAUAUCCUGGUGUAUGUUGAUGAUAUUCUGCUUACGAGUAGAAACUCUACUAUGCUUCAUCACCUAAUAUAGUUACUGAGUUUUGAAAAGCUCCGUGACUUGGGCAUGGUUCACUACCUUUGGGGUAUUGAAUUUCAGUCUACAAGUAUGGGUUUGAUGUUGCGCCAGCACAAAUAUAUUCUUGACAUCCUCACUUGGACUGGUAUGACUUCCUACAAACCUGAUGAUACUCCAGUUUCUCCUUCAAAAGUUACUAUACUGCCAGAUAAUCCAUUCUCUAAUCCUACACGAUUUCUUCAAAUCAUGGGUGGUCAUUAGUACCUUACCUUCACCUGACCAGAUAUCUAAUUUGUUGUUAACAGUCUGUCAGUUUAUGUAUGCUUCUACAGAUUCUCAUUAGGCCAUCGUUAAACGCAUUCUACAUUACCUUAAAGAUAUAACAUCUUAUGGUUUUCAUAUCACUCAAGGUUUCUCUUUUGCUCUACAUGAUUUUAAAUGCAGAUUGGGUUGGUAAUAUUGAUGAUUACAAGUCUAUAGGUGGUUACCUUGUUUUUUCUUUUUUUGUCAGACGUCGAUCUCAUAGAAGUCAAGCAAGCAACGCAUAGUUGCUCACUCAUUUACUUAGGCUGAGUAUAAAGCCUUAGCGAACGGCAAUGCUAAGGUCAUCUGGCUUCAAUAUUUAUUAACAGAUCUGCAGGUUCCCUCCGUCUCUACUCCUACUAUUUGGUGUGAUAAUCUUGGUGCCUCUUAUCUCUCUGCAAAUUCUAUUUUUCAUGCUUAUACUAAACAUGUUGAGGUGGAUUAUUAUUUUUUCCGAGAUUGAGUUGUGAAGAAAGAAAUUUAUAUUUGUUUUAUCCCUUCGCAGGAUCAACUUGCGGAUGUCUUCACCAAGCCACUUUCUACUACUUUCUUUAUUGCUUUCUGUUACAAGCUUCGGGUCAAUCCUCCACCCUUAACUGGAGGAGGUACAUUAUAGAAUGUAUAGCAUGUAUAUAUAUGUAUAAGAAUUAAUGUAGAGUUAUUCCAAUGUUAUUAUCCAUAUAACGGUAUGUUUUCCAUUCUAUUAUUACAUAAGAUUGAGCUUCAUUGCAAGAUUUAAUGAGCCUUUUUUGGAUCGGUUAAUGGGUGUGCAAUGAUUGUGCAUUAAAUGCACACCCCACUUGUCAUCUCCCUACCCAAUUUCUGGUGUGGAUUUUGUGUUUCUUGCAGGGGCUUGGAGUUGUUUUCAUCUUGGAUUGGUUAUCUUUGAUGUCACGAAAAAAUAAUAACAUAGAGGAAUUUUUACAGCAUUUCAUAGUUUGGUUAACUAUUUUAUGUCUUCCUUUGAUUGACCACCAUGAUUAUAGGCAAAAAAACACAAUCUUAAAAAAUGAUAGAAAGUGAAAAGAAACCAGAUGUUAGGCUGAAUAAACAUAGCCACGUGUAUCAUAUUUUAGAUUUUAAUAAAAAAUAUCCUCUUUAGUUUGUAUUUUCCUUUAACUAUCCAGUUUGUGCAGGGCAGCUCUGUACAACAGUCGACGUUGCUCUUUGCUUUCUCUUUUAACUAUGGUGAGUCAUUUCUAGUCUUGCUCUCUUUUUAUUUAGUUGUCAGUGAAGUUUGUGUCGUAAGGUUUUGAAUUCUUUAGGGAGUUCUGAUUGUUGUUAGGUGAUUAGCUGGUGACAACUUGGCUAUUAGCUAGCUUUGAUCUAGGAUUAUAGGUUGCUCCUGUCAACUUUUAGACUGUCAUUUGUUUGCAUUGGAUGCUGUGUAGAUAAAGCAGCAAAAGAAUGAAGUUUUCUUACAAAGACAUAGCUUUGAAGCUCUUUUUAUUCUUUUUAAACUUCCUUGUAAGGAAAUACGUGUUUAUAUACUUUUCACGAAUUCAUUAUUGUUUUAUUUUUUUUAUACAACCACAUAAAAAUCAUGAACUCGUGAUUUUUUUUAUUUUUGUUUGAAACUUGCUCUUUAGAUUAGGAUAAGUUAUUAUUUAGAAAAAUAUGCUCCUAAUAAAACGACAUGUUUUUGUAAGAAAAAAAAAACAAUAAGAAAAUGAUAGUUUUUUUCCCAAGAAAUAAAAUUUUCCCUUCUCAAUUUAAAGUAUUGAGAUUGUUACGGAUAUUUAUUUUAAUUACUUUGAUUUUUUAUUGAAAAAAUGAUGUUGCCUUUUCAUAAAAAAGAAAUUAUAAAUAAGGAAUGGGGACUUCAAUUUAAAAAAAUACAUUUUCUUCUUCAAAAGCUAAAUCCUUUAAAAAAUACUUUUGUACGUGUUCAGAAUCUGGUGGUGGAAUCAGAUUCUUCAAUUCUUGUGGGAUGGCUGAGCCAUGGAAAUAUGCUCAUGAGUUCUUCUCUAUUUCAACCCUCUUUAAGCUCUUAUUUCAUGUUCAGUUUGUACCUGUUCUGCGUGAAGCUAAUGUUGCAGCUGAUGUGAGGGAAUGAGGCUCUGUAUAGAAGGAGCUGCUAUAGAAAGAAUAUGGUAUGGUUGCAUCUAUUGUUUUUAGUUUUAAUUUUGUGUUCUCUCUCUUCGUGUACUUUAUCAUCUUGUUAUGGAGUCCAAGGGCCUGUAUAACAAAAUAAUUUUUCUUUUUCUUUUUCAGUUUUGUUUUUCAAGUUCCAAUAAAAAGUCAAAGAACAUGUUCAUCUCUAAAGUUUUAAAACAUUUUUUCAACCCAGGAAACUAAAAAAUAUGUUGAUGCUAUAUUGUUUUUCAUUUCGAGAAAAAUAAACACGUAGAAAUCGUCUAGUUUUUUAUGACAUUCUUAAUUUUUUAACGUACACUAUUUUUUUAUCAUUAAUUUGAGAAACAUCACCUAAUUAAAUUGUACAUCUAAUUUUCCACUCGAACAUUUUCAAUUUUUGUUAUUCAUUCAAAGGUCCUCUCUACCUAUGAUCGAAAGUCAAUGGAACCAAAGUAAAUGGAGCAAAAGUUAAAUGGAACAUUAUUAUUAAUUCAUUUAUGAACCCUUCACAAAAAAAUAGAUGGUGCUUACAAUACUGAAAUGUUGGGUCAGUGCCUGCACUUUCAUAGCUUGGUUUCACUGAUUGUAAAAUCCUCGACCACUUUAGAAAACUCACCUUUUAUUUUUUUAUUGUUUUUUAAAAUAUUUUUUAUUUAAAAAUAUAUUAAAAUAAUAUUAUUUUUUAUAUUUAUACAUCAAAAUAAUGGUAUGAAAAUACUUAAAAAUACUAAUUUAAAAUAAAAAAUAAAAAAAAUUUAAAUUUUUAAAAACAUUUUUAAAACAUGAAAUAUGUGAUAUAUCAUACUACUCAGUAAAGUUUCUUCCAUCUGAAAACUCAGUAAUUAUCUUCAUCACACAUGAAAUCAAUGUCAGAAAACCCACGAGGUAGUCUUCCUCGUUAACCAUAAACUUACGAACUCGUGAAUCAAAUUCAAUGGAAAAAGAGAAGGAGAAGCGCCUUUUCCAUGGUUGUCUUCAGUUGGUGGAAAAUUUGGAGUAAAUGAUGUUUUCCAAGUUUAGCUUUAUUUAUAGAAAAAUGAAAAAUACUUGUUUCUUUUUUUCUAAUUUGUAAAAAGAAUGAAUUUGAACACAAACUCUAUUUUUCAUGUUUUUUUUUGUUUUUUUUUAUAAAAAUGGAGUAAUACUCCAUUAUUGAACACUGUUGAUCAAUUUCACAAGUUCAAGAAUUAUAACAAGUAAUAAAAUGAUGAGCAGAAUAAUAUCGUUCCACAAGAAUUUGCAAAAAUUACUACUAAUUACUAAAGUCUUUUAAACUAUGAUCUAUUUGAGGAAUCGAAUGAGAUAAUAUAUAAAACAAAAAUUAAUGAUUAAAAACAAACAGUCAAUUGAUUAAAUAUUAAUGAUUUCAAUUCUACUAGUUAUAAGAUUUUUGACUUACCAUAACUAUUCAUAUGUGAAGUUUCUCAAUUGAAUUAAUUACUUCUACGUUGAUAAUCAGAUUUUUCUAACUUAAACAUUAAUCUCUCUCUAGUAUCAAUGAAUUAUUUCGAUAAGCAAAUUUCAUAUACUCUACAAAAGUUCUGAACUUAUCGAAAUUUAUUAAGUACCGUAAAACCUGUAACGAUUACAAAAGUUUCUAGGAUAACUAUAUCCUAUAGAUUUCUUAAGGUAUUUCAAACAAUAGCUAAAACAAUUAUAUAUCACUUCUCAAUCUCAAAGUGAAUUCUAAAUCACGCAAAUGUUGGCCAAACAUACACAAGCAUUACACAUAUAAUUAAAUACUCAACAACGUAAUGUAAUAAUUCAAUCGAAGAAAUUGUUUACAUAUUCAUAGUAAGGUUACAUCAAAAUUCCCAGAAUAAAAGUCUACUUCAUAGUUAAAUUAAAGAGAAACAAACUUAAUACGAUGAAUAUCACUCAAAAGCAGAGAAUAGCAGUGAAAUAGGUAGGUGUCCUCCAAAUCUUCUCUAUUUUUUCCUCUAUUUUCCUUCCCUCUUUGUGCCACCUAUUCUUCUUUGUUUAGUCUAUUUUAGGGUCUCUCUAUGUAUGCACGUCUCCCUUGCAGACCCCUCCCUUUUCUUUGAUAUUGUGGCCUUUCUAUCCCUGCUGGAAUGAAGAUAGUUUUCUUUUUUUAUUUGAAUUCCUUCCUACCCAGACAUUGCGGGCCAGAUUUGAGGUAGGAAACAUACGAAUUCAAAUAUCUCUAUUUCUGGAGAAAUUGUAAAAAAUUAAAUCUUCUUUCCAACAACACUGAUCUUACAAUUUUGAACCUCUGAGACUUGAGAUAAGGCGCAUAAACCGAGACAGUAUUUGAAGUGUAGGAAGUUCAAGUCUACUUCAAUCCCUGUUUUUCGACUUGUUUUUUUGGCUUCGAAACAAGAUAUUUAAAAAUGGUAACGAACAUCUGGAACUGAGUUAUAUAGCUUCUUUUGCAGCAUAUAGUAAAUCAAUGUUCGAUUUUACUGUCGAAUUCUUCGUGCUCAGUAACCUAGUAUCUGAAAACACAUUAAUUUCCCACGAGGUUAAUAGUUCAAAAAAAAAACCAAAAUUCUAAUUAUCUUGUGCUACACUUCUAAAAUAUUUUAAAAUCAAGCAUGAAUAGUAGAAAAUAUACAUACUAAAAAUUCCUUUAUCAUACACACCCAAAACUCCUGGAGUUACAAAUCUCUAAUAAAAAAAAAAAUCAUACCAACAAAUUAGAUUUAAAAAGAUAAAAUUUCUGGUAGAGUUUUUAAAAUUCGAGUCUAGGUCUUUGUCUUUUGGAUUUUUAUAAAUGAUUGAUAAGUUUGUACCAAGAGAUUUUAGUAUGGUAUGUUUCAUGUGGGCCCCGACGCAUUGAUUGAUAAACGCCACUUAUGAUAGCCAAUGAAUAAAAUUUCUCUUAAGAAAUAAUAAUAAUAAUAUUAUCAAAUUCCAUGGCCCUUUCUCCUUUGUACUGAUCGCUUUAUUUUUGUUUUUCGAAUUAUGAUUUUGAUUGUGGUCGUAGUGUAGCGAGACGUCGACAUAGCAGCUGUAUGGAGACUGGACAGGCCCUAAAGCAAAGGAUUGAUUUUUCGCUUUUAGGACUUCAAAGCACUGCAACUAGGUUGGUGAAGAAUUGAGUUUAACUGUGUGGCCUUCCUUGGGAAAAUUAAUGUCUUCAACAUGGAAAGAGAAAUGGAAAACUGCAAGGCAAAUGGGAUAAGAAAUCAAGAAGAGCAAUGAAGCAGUGACAAACCAUUUCUUUUUACAUGUGGGUCUUCCAAUUUUUAUUUUAUUUUAUUUUCCUUUCUGUGGACAUGAGGCAAAAUUCGUACAAGAUAUUGUGAAAAUUAAGGUUCCAGAAAAGCUGAACCGCACUAUGACAUUAACAGCAGUGACAGGCCUGAAGAUGUAAAAUAGCGAGUAAUUGCCAAGAUUGAUGGAGCUUUCUAAAAAGAUGUGGAGAUAUAAAUAUGUGGCGUCAAUUCGUUUCCACGUCAUAAAUGUGAUUGAUAAACGCCACUUAUAAUUACGUGUAUAGAGCCAAUGAAUAAAAUUUCUCUUCAAAAAAAAAAAAACAAAAUAUUAAAUUCCAUAGCCGUUUUUCCUUUGUAUUGAACACCCUAUAUUAUUUUUUUUCGAACUAUGAUUUUGGUUGUGUGUUUGCAGCGUAGUACGUCGUAGCUCUGAUACAAGGAUCAGUGGCGGAGUACUAUAAUAAUUAUAACAUCUUAUAUUAUAAACCUAUUCUAUAAUACGGAGCCACAUGGGAACCAAAAGAGUUAAUUGCCUCCUUAAUUUUUUUUAAUAUUUUUUAUAUUGAAAUAUUAGUAUAAUAAUUUAGUGAAUGGUUUAUAUAAAAAAGUUAUUAUUGCAUUUCCUUUUCUUUCUUUUUCUUAUCCUAACUAUGCAAAUUUCUCUUUUGCUUUCCCAUAUGUCCAGCUCGUUCAUUUCUCUUCAAGUAAUUAACUUUUUUGGUUUUUUACUUUAUAUUUUAGAUAAAUUUCCUUCAUUUUUUUUAUUUGUUUUAUUGUUUAUUGUUUAUUGUUUAUUGUUUAUUUUUAUUUUUUUAUAAUUAGUUAUUAAAAAUAUCAGAAUUUAUAAUAAUUUAAGUUUUUUAUAUGAAUAUGUUCAAAAUAAAUAUUUAAAUUUUAUAAUUUAAUCAAUUAAAUGUUUUAUUUUCUUAUUAUAAAAAGAAUAAAUUAAUAUUCAUGCAAAACCAUUAUUAUUGGCAUCUCUUGCAUUGGUAAAGUAAUUUAUUAAAAUAUAAUAUUUUCACAUGAUUUGUUUGUAAGUAAAAUAUCAAGUAGAAACCAUGUUUUUCAAGUAUUGUUUCUCUUAUACAGACACUAUAUAUUAUUCCUCAAUUAAAUGUCUAUAAAUUAUUAAGUAUAAUUUAAUCAACAUACUUAUUAUAUACAUAUAGAUAUGUAAGUUUUAUGAAGUGAUUUUAAAAUAUGAAAACUCGAAUAGAAGAAUUACAAUGUAAUUAAGUUUUUUUUCAUUUUAAAGUAUUUUUAAAUUAAUUUUACUUAAUAUAAAUUACUAUAUAUGUUUUGAAUUGAUUUCUAACACAUAUCUACAUAAUAUAGUAUUUGUUAUUAAUUUGCCCUCUUAUUUCAAAAACUCUGGCUCCGCCACUAAUAUACUUUGUAAUUUUUUUUUCUUUUUAUCUUAGUUAAUAUCAAUAAUUAUUAAUUAAUAAAGCAUUACAGCUGUAUUACCAUGCUAAUUUGAACUAAUGAAGUUAUUUUGAUCUUAUCUUAUAAUAAUAAGAUAUUAUUUGAAUUGAUGAAGUUAUAUUUAAAGUAUUGCUAUACAAGAAAUCUGCUGGUUAAUAGAUUGAUAUUUAUAUAAAUUAAUUAAUAUCGAGUCAUUAAUUGUGAAUACAUAAUAUAACCAAGACAUAUUGAUAAUUAAUAUCUUGAAAGAAAAAAAUCAAUUUAUUAAAGAGUAAUAGUAGAUAAGGUCAAAAUGUAACAAGGUUCAUCAUUUGUAAUGGCAAAUGUUGUCACCAUGUAUGCAGACCAUUUUAUCACAUUAUAAAAUGCACUAAUGAGAGUUUAUAAUUAUAUCACAUAACAACCAUUUUAAAAAAUUCAUGUUUUUACCUGUCUCUUUUAUUUGCUUAAAUCGUACAUUAAGUUUUGGAAGAUGAAUUUUAUAUAUAAAAAUAAUAUUUUCAAAAAAAUAAAUUACUUUUUAAUAUUUAAAUAUAUAUAUAAAAAAUGAGUUGAAUUUUUUUUUUAAUGUUUAAUUAGAUAAUAAAAAUAAGCAAGAAAAUAGAAGAUUCUGGUUAUGAAUUUUUUUAAAAUUAACAAAAUAUUUUUUUGUUGUCAACUUUAUUUCAGCUAUUAUUUAUUCAUGAAAAAUAUAUUAUUUUUUGGUUUUGCAAUGAAAAAUUAAUUAGAAAUAUAAGGACAUGAGAACUCCAAAAAAAAUCUGCACACAAAAAUUCUGCACUUUUCAAUAAUAAUAAAAAAUUAAUUAUUUAACUCGUCGACCCUUCAUGCGGGCGUGAAAUCCUUUUCGCGUUAUAAAUGAUUGAUAAGUUCGUUCCAAGAGAUUUUAGUAUGGUGGGUUUCAUGUGGACCCCGACGCCUUUUAAAUGAUUCAUAAACGCCACUUAUAAUUAAGGCUCGAGAAAAGCUGAACCGCACAAUGCUGCAUGUGCCCUCUUCUUCAGGUAAAGGACAUUAACAGCAUAAAAAAAUAUCCCAUAAAAAACAUUUCCUAAACAAAGUAUAAAGGCCUAAACCAGAAGCCAAUCUGACCUUUUUUAUUGUUAAUAUAGGAGCUUGAUCAUUAUAUUAUGACUUAUUAAUUUAAAAGAAGAAUUAUUACUAUAAUCUUUAUAUUUAUUGAUGGAAUUUUUUAUUGGUAUUUGCAUUAUCAUUUUGUUGGUAAUUAAUUUACCAAUAAAAUUACCUACAAAAAUGCUAUGUUGGUGAAUCCUUCGUCGGUAAUUUUUUUCGUCGGUAAAUCCAUAAUUAAUAAAAAAAUUAUUUUGCCGAUAAAAAAAGCGUGCAAAAAAAAAAUUAACUGCUUCAUUCCGUCAGUAUUUCUCUCGAUAAGUUUGUAUGUAAUUCCAUCAAUAAUUAUUUUAAAAUAUUUUUUAAAAAAUCUAUUUUACAAAACUAUAAAAUAAUUAAAUUAAUAUAAAUGAGCACUCUAUAAUAUUCAAAACACUUGAAAAAAAAACCAACUCAAACAAAUUUGCAACAAAUAAAUAACAAGAAAAAAUAAAUUCAACUAAAAAAAUUCAUAUGAAAAAAAUAAAGUUGCAAUUGCUGAAAAUUUUAAAAUCCUAUAAAUAAAUCAACUAAAAAUUGAUCUCAUAUGGAAAAAAAAAAAUCCUACAACAACAUUCAUACAAUUAUUAAGAACAAAAAAAAAAAAAAAUAUAGUGAAAAAAAAAAAUUCUUACCUUAAUAUAGUUGCAAGUGAAGCUAAGAAGAGUAAAAAAAAUCAUAAAGUAUAUUAAUUAAAAAAAAAACUAAGAAGAAAAAAAAGUAGAAAAAAUGCAUAUUUGAGCAUGGAGGAGAAGAGAAAGAGUUGAGGAGAGAAGAGAAGAAAAAGAAAUAGAUAUUGAUGUUUCUUACAUAUGAGGAAGAAGAAGAAGAAAGGAGCCUUGUUUGUUGUGAAAUUGGGGAUUCCAAACUUUUUAUUGGGGUGUUUUACCAAUGAUUUUACCGACGAAUAAUUAAAUAUUAAUAUUUUUAAAUAUUAUGUCGGUAAUAUUUAAUUUAAUCAAAAAAUUUUAGAAACCGCUAAAUAUCACCAUGGCUUUUCAAUUCUUCGGUGAUUCCAUCUAUAAUAUUUAAUUUAAAUAUUUAAUUUAAUCAAAAGUUUUUAGAAACCCACCAAAUAACACCAACUUUUUAAUCCGUCAGUGAUUUUGUCUUUAAAAAACAGUAAUUAACAAUGCAAUUGGGGAGUGAACAAUUCCAUAGCUCUCUAGAAAAUACCAAUGAAUUUUUUCGUUGGUGAUUCCGUUUGUAAAUGACAUGAUGAACAAUGUUAACAUUUUACCAAUAGAAUUACUGACGGAAUUUAUUCCAUCGGUCAUUCCGUUGGUAAAAAAUAACACGUCAUCAUUUUUUUUAAUUAUUUUUUUCCCACUGUAAUUCCCUCAAUAGAUACUGAGGGUAUAUUUCCAUCGGUAAAAACCGUUGGAAAUUUAUUGAUGAAAAUAUUCCCUCGGUAUUUUCGUUUGUAUUUAUCGAUUUUCUAAUAGUGAAUUGAAUUGAAUGUCAUAUGUUUCUCCUGAAUUCAAUCUACACUUUAAUUAUAUAAUAAAUCUCAUUCCUUACUUGGUUAAUCAAAAGGACACUCAGGGUUUGCACACAACAAUUCCUUACUUGGUUAAUCAAAAGGACACUCAGGGUUUGCACACAACAAUAAUUAAAACUGAAACUUCUAAUAGAAAUUAGAUUUUAGCUACUAACAAAUUUGAAUUGUAGUUGCAAUGCUUUAUUUAUAACUCAUGUCAAAUAUCAGUUGCGAAUUGAAUGCCAAAUCUCUCCUUAAAAAAUUGAGAAACCAUCAUCCAAAAUAUCAUAUUAACAAACACAAUAUUUAAACCAAAAACAUAAAAAGGAAAUUCUCGAUGUGCUCGCUUGAUAUAACUUCCUUAAUAUACAAGGUCAGGGGUAUGAUGGUGCUAGUAAUAUACUAUUAAAUAAUAUUUAUUUACUCUUAUUUAUUAAGAGUAGAAUAGUACUUUCAAUUUAAACUAUAUAAUUUCUUUAUAUUUAGGUUAACUCUAACACUCAUAAUAAACUAAUUAUUGAGGAUUAUGCCUUCUUUUUCUGUUUGAUUUGAAUUAUUUUAACAUGGUAUCAGAGCUGAUUUAUAUGGAACGAGGCUUAAUCUCAAAAAUAUUUUGAGUGAUAUUUUGUCUUUUCGCUUUUGCAUAAUCUGUAUUUUCAUCUUUCUUCAACUUCUGUAAUUUUGGUAUUUAUGUUAUGUCUCUGCAAUUGUUUUGGUAUUUCGUCUUCUGUAAUUUGGUGUUUGUGUUCAAUUUUUGUAAUUUGUGUUGUUUUGGAGUAAUCAUGUAAUUUCAAGAAGAUAUUUGUUGAGUAUUUGUAAUAUAUGUUUAAUUUCUGCAAUUUAGUACUUUGUCUUUCGCUGCUUUUGCGUUCUAGUUCUUGUUUGUUAAUUAUAGCUACCGAAAGAGAUGAUUUGCUUCACUCUGUGAGUGUGAGGUUGGAUGGAAAGAAUUAUUUGUAUUAGAGUUAUGUAAUGAGAAAUUUUCUUAAAGGUAAAAAGAUGUGGGGGUAUAUUAGUGGAACUUAUAUGAUACCUAAUAAUACUGAGAAGGGGAAUGUUGUUUUGAUAGAUACAUGGGAAGCAAACAAUGAAAAGAUCAUUACUUGGAUCAACAAUUUGUUGAGCAUUCGAUAGGUACACUGUUGGCGAAGUAUGAGAUAGCAAAAAGGGUUUAGGAUCAUCUAUAAAAGUUAUUCACGCAAUCAAAUUUUACAAAAUAGUAUCAAUUAGAGAAUAACAUAUGAGCUCAUAAUCAAAACAAUAUGAGUAUUCAAGAGUUGUAUUAUGCUAUGAUAGAUCUUUGGAAUCAAUUGGCUCUUGUAGAAUUGACAGAAUUAAAGGCAUGUAGUGCCUAUAUUAAGCAUAGAGAGAAGCAAUGAUUGGUAUAGUUUUUAACAGCACUUUGCAGUGAUUUCGAAGGACUUAAAGGUUCAAUUCUGCAUCAUUCUCCACUGCCUUCUAUUGACUCUAUUGUCAGUGAGUUAUUAUUGGCUGAAGAAAUACUUCUUCAGUCUUAUUCUAAAAAGGAAAUUCUUUCUACUUCAAAUCCUUAUGUACUAGCAAUACCCUCUAAUCCAUUCUUUAAUCAUCAGAAUAAGCCUUACAUAAGGAUUGGCUUUGAUGAGUGCAGUUUUUAUAAGCAAAAAGGUCAUUUGAAGGCUUAGUGUCCCAAGUUGAAACAACAGAAUCAAGCUUGGAAGCAUGGCAACCAGUCACAAUCUAAUGCUCAUAAACCACUUCAGGGUUAUAAACCACCACACCACAAUACUACAGUAGUAGCUUCAUCAAGCUCUAUCACCAUUCUUACUACUUGCUAAGCAAUUUCAUAAUUUUCUCUCCUUACAACCAUAAGCAAUGUUUGCUUCUUCUUUUAUAGGUCAGUUGCCCCAUAACUCCUUAAGUAUACAUUCUGAAUGGGUCUUAGAUUUUAGUGCUUCCCAUCAUAUGUCUCCAGAUUCUUCAUCUUUUACCCAUGUGUCCCUUUCAUCCUUCAUUCCUGUUAUGACUGUCGAUGGCAUUCUCCUACCUUUAGUAGGUGUUGGUUUUGUUGUCACACCUUACUUGUCUCUCCCUAAUAUUUAUUUUAUUUUAAAACUCAAAUUAAAUCUUGCUUAUAUUGGUCAAACAUAUGAUUCUGGUGAUUAUUUAGUCAUAUUUUCUGGUUCUUUUUAUUGUGUACAAGUCAUAGGGAGAAUGGACUACAUAUUUUGGAUGAGUUAAAAAUGUCAGUUGUCGUUGUUACUGCUACUACUACUAUUGAUUUCUCUUCCUUUCGUUUGAGUCCUUCAUCUUCUAGUUUUUAUUUAUGGCAUUCUUAUCUAGGUCAUGUUUCGUCUUCUCAUUUAAUAUUUUUAGCAUUCAUAUGAGCUUUAGAAAAUUUAAAAACUUAUGAUAUUUCUGAAUGUAGUGGAUGUAAACUAGCAAAAUUUUCCGCUUUACCUUUUAAUCGAAGUAUUUCUAUUUCUUCUUCACCAUUUGAUUUUAUUCAUUAUGAUGUAUAGGGACCCUCUCCUACUGCCACAAAAGGACAGUCUUGAUAUUAUGUUUUAUUUAUUGAUGAUCAUACUCAUUAUUGUUGGGUUUAUCUAAUGAAACAUCGUUCUGAAUUCUAUGAGAUAUAUACAGCCUUUCGAGCUUUUAUGAAAACUCAACAUUCUAUUGUAAUCAAAUCAUUUAGGUGUGAUUUGGGUGGAGAAUAAACUUUUAAUAAAUUUUGUCAAUUGCUUACCUUAGAUGGAAACCAUUCACCAAACUUCUUGUACAUAUAUUCUUAAGCAAAAUGGUGUUGCUGAAAAAAAACAUAGGCACAUUGUCGAAAUUGCUUGUUCUCUCUUGUUGUCUUCUUCUGUUCCUAAUGAGUUUUGGGGAGAAGUUGUCCUUACUUCUGUAAGUUUGAUUAAUACAAUCUCAUCUUCUCAUAGUUUAGGUUUAUCUCCUUUUAAAAAGUUAUAUGGGCAUGUCCCUGAUUAUUCCUCCUUUAGAGUUUUUUGUUGUACUUAUUUCGUUCUUCGUCCCCAUGCAGAACGCAGUAAGUUGUUCUCUUAUUCUACUAUUUGUGUCUUUUUGGGUUAUGGUGAAGGUAAAAGGGGUAUCGUUGUUUUGAUCCAAUAACUCAAAAAUUUUAUAUGUCUCGUCAUGUUGUCUUUCUCGAGCAUAUACCUUUAUUUUAUAUUCCAUCCACUACUCAUAACUUGACUAGACCUGAUAUUAUUCAUAUCAAUCCUUUUUUUGAGGAUUUUGAUAAUAUAUCAUCACAGGUUCCUAGUACCUUAAAUACCAUUUCUCAUGUUCAACUAAUUUGUACUCAUCAUCCUACAGGUACUGACACUUUACUCUCUAGCAAACCUGAAUCUCUAUUUUCAUCUACAACCCCCCAAGCUUCGUCUGAGAUUAUGGAUCCACCUCUACUACUUCAAUUCAUACACAUUCGUAUGUAAACCCCAAGUUGAAAUUAAUUAGAAAAAAAAAUCAAUAUUUAUGAAGCAAGGUUAAAAUAAGUAAAAAAAUAAAUUAGGAAGUCAAUCUAACAAUUAAAGUGUGGGAAUGAAAAAAACAAAUACAAGAUAGAGGAAUUAAAGUGUAUAAAAAGAGAGGAAGAAAUUCUAGGAAUUAAUAAGACAAUAGCCAAACAACGCCAAAUCGCAAUUAGGAAGGAGUAUAAAUACAUGUGAGAGAGUAAGAUGGACACUUUUCUUCUCCAUAAAAGCUAGCGGAAACCAUAAAGAACAACUCUUCCCCAUUUUAAUUUCAAAACAGAAAUACUUUGCAUAUUCCCUUUUACCUAGCGCAAGAGUGAAAGAAGAAUAAUUGUAAGGUGAAAAAUCAAGAAUUUGAAGUAGAGAAAGAGAGAUGGAACCGGCUGAAACCAAAAAUAAAAAGAGAAGAAGGAAAGUUCAAAGGGAGGAGAAUAAUAUCACCUAAGUACUCCCUCAAAACUCUUCCAAAUUCAUGUGGUAAGAGUAAUCCUUUACUCUUGGAACUUGUCAUGGGAGGUGUUAGGUUGUAUGAGAAGAAAGCCCCGAUUUAGGAUGCUUGAAUUUAAUUAGGGUAAAUGAAAAAUCAAUGCAAAUACAUACUCUAGAGCAUAAAUAGUCUAAGAACACAACAUUUUUAACUAGGAUUAAUGAAGGUUGGAGUUGUUAGGAAACCCCUACCAUUCAACCAAAAGAACAAAAAUAAGAGAAAAGGGAGUCUCCAAUGGCAUUAUACUAAUAUAAUGAUGUUGAAGUGUGUAGUAACUAAAACUAUUAUUUUUUUACUUUUUUUCAUAUCUCUUGAUUUGCACUUAUAUGAUUUAUGUUGGUGCUUAAAGUUGUAUGAACCAUGUUAUCAUGAAAAUCAAAUAAAAAAGAAGAAGAAGAAGAAGAAAGAUUUGAUGUCUUGAUAAGGAAUGAACUUCAAUUGCUAGUUCCUAAUAGAGUUUAUAUGUAAUGGAAUACUAUAAUGAUGAAAAUAUGCAUAGAAAAUGUUUGAUUAGUGUUUGAAUCCAUGAAUUCAAAUCUGGGCAAUUUGAUAAUGGAAAUACCAACACAAAUUGGACAUAGAAGAUGAUAGAAAUUGCUAUAAUGUUUUAUAUGAAAGAUGUAAAGGAAUGAGUUUGCUAACAUUUGGCACUGGUCUUGCCUCAAUUGGAGUUUUAUAACUCUAGAUAUGGGCAAAAUACCAUCAAGAGGUCAAAUUGUCUGUAACAGGACAAUUUGGUUCUCAUAAUUAAAACUACUGUUAGAUAUAGAAGAUGAUAGAAAUUGCUGUAAUGUUUUAUAUGAAAGAUGUAGAGGAAUGAUUAGGUAACAUUUAGCACUAGUAUUGCCUCAAAUGGAGUUGUAUAACUCUAGAUAUGGGCAAAAUACCAUUAAAAGGUCAAACUAUCCGUAACAGGGCAGUUUUGGUUCUCAGAAUUAAAACUAUUGUUAGACAUAGAAGAUGAUAGAAAUUGUUGUAACGUUUUAUAAACAAGUUGUAGAGAAAUGAGUUAGAUAACAUUAGGACCUGGUCUUGCCUCAAUUGGAAUUAUAGAACUUCAUAUAUAGGCAAACUACCAUUUAGUGGACAAGUUGUUUGUAACAUGAUAGAUUUCACUACCUGACUUCUAACUAAUUUUAGAAUAGCUGAACAAUAGAAUUUUAGGCAACCUUAUAGAAGAAAGUUGUACUUAAGGAUGUUAAAUUUCACUAGGAUUUGGCCCCAUAUGAAUCGAAGCUCUAGAAUUCCAUUUAGAGACUAAAAAUUACAGACUUGCCAUGUUGCAAAUUACAGACAAGACAAAUUUACAUGUGUGUAGAAGACAAGUGAUUUUGGGCACACUGAUGAUUCAUGUUGAAAUUAAUUCUUCUGAAUCAUGGGAGAUGUAUAUGUCAACAUUAAAAAAAAACAUAUAAAAAGGUCUAGACGGAAAUAGAUGGUGAAAUUUUGUUGACGCAAACCCAAGUCAUAGAUACUGAAAGCUCGUUGAUGCAAAACUAAGUCAUGCGAACACUUGAAUGUGAUAUACUAACUCCAAAGAAAUGCACUUGAUAUGUAUAUGUACAUUAUGAUGAGGAAAUGAACAUGCAUAAAAAGUAGCAUAUGUAUAAUGAAUGAAUAUGGAUUGCCUAUAACAUUUAGCUUGAAGGAAUCAUAACCAAAGACUUCUUUGUGAAAUAGGAGGAGCGAUUGACCAGGAUUAGAUCUUCUAUUGGAGGAAGUCAAGAGACAAGCGAAGCAGGUGCAUGGUUUCCCUCUCCUUAAUGCUUAUGCAAUUUAAAAUCUCCUUGAUGAAUGUAAUUACAAUAAUAUUAUGUUCAAAAUAAAUAAAGUAUGGUAUAGGGAUGCCGGGAAAUGAAAUACAACAUUAGCUUCGGCUAAUGGCAUCCGUGAUAGGGAUGCAGGGAAAUGAAUUACAAGAUUAGAUUCGGCUAAUGGCAUCUAUGAUAGGAUUGUUGAGAAAUGAAUUAUAAAAGUAGCUUCUGCUAAUGGCGACCAUGUUGGGACACCUGGAAAUGAUCGAUAAGGCUUGAUUCGUAAAAGGUAUCCAUGUUGGAUUAUGCAAGGUUGAAGAUCUAAUAAAACCAAUUAAACAAAGUUACUAGGUUCAUGUAAGAAGAUAAGAGAAAUAAAUUAAGAAUAUAACAAUAUGGAUUGUUACACGUAAGAGCCAGAUUUUGCUUAUUCUUGUUAUUCUUUAUCAUUUACUUUCUUUUUAGUUUUUUUUUUCAUUGUCUCUCUGAGCCCUCUUCCUAUAAAGAGGCAAUUCUUGAUCCUCUUUGGCAGCAAGCUAUGGAUGAGGAACUUUCUGCUUUGCAUAAGACAGAUACUUGGGAUUCGGUUCCUCUACCUCCUGGUAAAAAUUUUAUUGGUUGUCGUUGGGUGUAUAAAAUCAAGACUAAUUCUAAUGGGUUUAUUAAGCGAUAAAAAGCUAGGUUGAUUGGAAAAGGAUACUCUCAAUAGUAUGGUAUGGAUUUUGAGGAGACAUUUACCCCUAUUGCAAAAAUGACUAUUAUUCGUACUCUUAUUGUUGUAGCUUAAGUUUGUCAAUGGAAUAUCUCACAACUUGAUGUUAAAAAUGCCUUCUUGAAUUGAGAUCUUCAAGAAGAAAUUUAUAUGGUGCCUCCUCCUAGUGUUUUAUAUGACUCUAGGUAUGUUUGUAAGCUCAAGAAAGCGUUAUAUGGUCUCAAAUAAGCACCUUGGCUUGAGAAAUUUUCUAUUGUGAUCUCAUCUCUUGGAUUUGUUUCUGGUAAUCAUGAUUCUGCUCUUUUUAUUAAGUGCAUUGAUGUCGGUCAUAUCAUUCUAUCUUUAUAUGUUGAUGACAUCAUUAUUAUUGGUGAUGACAUUGAUGGUAUCUCAGUUUUGAAGACAGAGCUAGCUAGACAGUUUCAAAUAAAGGAUUUGGGUUCUCUACGAUAUUUCCUGGGUAUUGAGGUAGUUUACUCACCUAGAGGUUACCUUCUUUCUCAAUUGAAAUAUGUUGCAGAUAUUCAUGAGCGGGCUAGACUUACAUAUAACAAGACUAUAAACACUCCUAUUAAAGUUAAAGCAAGGUACUCUUCUUUUGAUGGUUGACCUUUGAUAGAUCCUACUUUAUACCAUAUUAUUGUUCGGAGCUCGGUAUAUCUCACCAUUACUCGUCUAGAUAAUGCAUAUGUUAUUCAUGUUGUUAGUCAGUUUGUUGUUUCUCCUACUAUUGGUCACUGGGCAGCUAUUCUUCGUAUUUUGCAAUAUCUUCAAUGUAUAGUUUUUUAUGACAACCAGAAUUCUAUUUAGAUUGUUCACAACUCGGUUUUUCAUGAGCAAACUAAGCACAUUGAAAACGAUUGUUAUCUUACUCAUCAUCAUCUCAAGCAUGGCACCAUUACUUUGCCUUUUGUUUCUUCUUCCUUGCAGAUUAUAGAUUGCUUUACCAAGACACAUUUCAUUUCUCGUUUUUGUUUUUUAGUUGGCAAACUCUCGAUACUUGUAAUUAUCACAUCGUGAGUUUAAGAGUAGAUGUUAAAUAAUAUUUAUAUAGUCUUAUUUAUUAAGGGUACAAUAGUAUUUUCAAUUUAACAUAUAUAUAAUUUCUUUGUAUUUAGGUUAACUCUAAGCACUCAUAAUAAACUGAUUAUUGAGAAUUCUAGUCUCAUUUUUCUAUAUGAUCUGAAUUAUUUUAACAAUAAUAUUUAUUUAACAUAUACAUGGUGUAUAGAACAAACUACAAGAUCUAUUUCUUAAAAAUUGCCCUAAUACAUAUUAUGUCGAUUAUUUUGCCCACUCAUCUAACUCCAUCAAUAAGUGGAAAGAGAUGCAAAGCUAAUUUUAAGAGCCUUUUUAUAAAAUAAAACUAGAAAUAACACUAACUAGCUUGGCUAGAAUAGUCUAAAAUCUAGAGGAGUGCAUAAAAGCUAUGGCCUUUCAAGACUUUGUCAACAGAGCAAGAAUGUACUAAAUCAAUUUUGAAAGUGACACAUUGGAACUUAAAAAAAAAAAUUAAAUAAGUAUUUAGAUAUUUAUAUUAUUUUAGAUGAUGUUACUCGAGAUGAAAAUAUUUUUGGAAAAUAAACAAACAAAAAAAACUAUUCAGAGGAAUAUACCUAGUGAACUAUUUAAACAAAGUGUGAUCGCGUAUUCAAUUACUGAUCUUGGUUCUGAACAGAAGUUUGAAAAAGUAAAACAACAACAACUUAUAUUGUUCAUAGAACUCAAAAAGAAAAAAUCGUUCAAAAUUAUUGCAUUACGAAUGCUAAACAAGGCUAGUAGAAGCAAAAAUGAUUAAGUGAGUAGAGAGAAUAUAUAUAUAUAAGGAGAAAGGAAACUUCCAAGAAACCACACAAUUCUAAGAAAUACUAUAAGUGACAAGAUUUAAGGAUACUUAAUGUUACGUUGAAUUAAAAUAUCAGAUCUGUAAACUAAUUAGAUUGAAAAAAACAGGUGGCUUACAAAAGAACACGCUUACAAGAUGCACUGGAUAGCUAGAUCUCCACUCUAUAAAUAGGCCUGGUUCGUUCUACUUCAAACCACUCUUCCCUAGCUACGCACUUCUUCCUUCUAUAUCUAUUGUUUCUGUUUCCUUCUUUCAUUUUACUUGUCAAUGGAAAGUGGGCUUAAGGCAUUGUGGAUGCUGUCUGCGGUGUUGCUGGUAUCAAACUGGCAACACUGGACUUAUGGAAAACGCGUACCUCAGGUUCCUUGCUACUUUGUCUUUGGAGAUUCUCUCUUUGAUAACGGAAACAAUAAUUACCUUGACAAAUCAGCUAAAGUUAAUUACCUUCCUUAUGGGAUAGACUUUGACACUGGGGCUACAGGAAGGUGCAGCAAUGGUCUCAACAUAGCUGACACCAUUGGUCUGCAGUUUUCUCUCCUCUCUUAUAAUACAAAAUAUAGUGCUUUAGUUUUCUUUAACAUAAAAAAUAAAUAUGUUCUCACUAGAUAGUUGUGAUCGUUUUAUUAAAUUACAAUUAGAAAUCUUGCUAAGUCUGGUACUAAUGUUUUUGUUGCUGAAAUUUACAUAAUUUAUUAGAAGAAGGAUGAUUAGGUUUGUUCUUUUGUUUCUUGUAUACCUAGAAACAUAAAUUUACAACGGUCUGAACAUAACCGAGUUUAGUAAUGUGGGCAGUUAUGAUCUUAAUUAUUAUUCUUUUGUUUCAGCUGACCAAUUAGGUUUCGACAGUUACAUUACGGACUUUGGUGUCGGAGGUUCCACUAAUUUUCUAGAUGGUGUAAAUUAUGGAUCAAAUGGAGCUGGCAUCCUUGAUUCUACUGGCUCUCUUGCGGUGAUUACUGAUCAUAUGCCUCUCAUAACUAAAACCUUGUAUUAUUCCGUAUGAAUUUUGCGUAAUCUUGUAUGCUUUGGCAACGCUAACUAUUGAUAUGUUUCUUUUGCGUAUGUGAAGGGAGAACUAUUUACGAUGAAUGAUCAGUUAUUUAAUCACAAUAAUAUCACGGUUUCACGAAUUUCCAAAAUCUUGGGAAGCGAGGAAGUUGCUAGGAAGUACUUGAGCCAAUGCAUCUAUGUGUCUGAUAUGGGCCAUAACGACUACCUCAACAAUUAUUUCUCGGACGACUACAAUAGCAGCCAGUUAUAUACUCCUGAAGAAUUUGCUCAACUUCUCAUUGAAACUUAUGAAACUCAGCUGGAGGUUAGUCCUACUUAAUGUCUCUUGUAAAACAACAAUUAAUGUUUGACGCGAUUGGAAACUAACAAAGACCCUUGCUGCCAGAAACUGUAUUGCUCAGGAGCAAGAAAGAUAGCUGUGUUAGGACUUAUUCGGGUAGGAUGUAUGCCGCACAACAUACAAAACCAUCCCAAAGACGUAGAUGCAUCUUCUUCAUGUGUAGAAAAGUUCAACAGUGAUGUUCAAAUUUUCAACUACAAGCUUCCAACACUGCUACAUAAACUUAAUGAAAAGCAUGCUGAUGCUGUGUUUACCUACAUAAACUCUUAUGAAAUUGAUUCUGAUGAUCAGACAAAUGCAGGUAUGAAUCCCCUCCCUCCCUUGCUCUCUCUCUCUCACGGCUGAAGACGACUUUUUUGUGAGACCAAAAUUAUUUUUUCUUGCUUGCAGG
rnacentral:lncRNA from 1 species